rnacentral:lncRNA from 1 species
GCAUCAAGUGUUGAUGGUUAACAAGACCACUAGUUUCAAGAAAAGGGCAAGGGAAAGAAAGGUAACUUCGAGAAGAAUGGCAAGCAAGUUGCCACUCCCGUGAAGAAGCCCAAAGUUGAACCUAAGCCUGAAACUGAGUGCUUCUACUGCAAAGGAAAUGGUCACUGGAAGCGGAGCUGCCCCAAAUACUUGGAGGAUAAGAAGGAUGGCAAACUGAACAAAGGUAUAUUUGAUAUACAUGUUAUUGAUGUGUACCUUACUAGUGUUCAUAGCAACCCCUGGGUAUUUGAUACUGGUUCAGUUGCUAAGAUUAGUAACUUGAAACAGGAGCUGCAGAAUGAACAAAGACUAGUUAAGGACGAGGUGACGAUGUGUGUUGGAAGUGAUUCCAAGGUUGAUACGAUCACCAUCGCACACUCCCUCUACCUUCGGGAUUAGUGUUGAACCUAAAUAAAUGUUAUUUGGUGUUUGCGUUGAGCAUAAAUAUGAUUAGAUCAUGUUUAUUGCAAUACGGUUAUUCAUUUAAGUCGGAGAAUAUUUUUUGUUUUGUUUACAUGAAUAAAACCUUCUGUGGUCAUACACUCAAUGCGAAUGGUUUAUUGAAUCUCGAUCUUAGUGAUACACAUAUUCAUAAUAUCGAUGCCAAAAAUAUGCAAAGUUGAUAAUGAUAGCGCAACAUACAUGUGGCACUGCCGUUUAGAUCAUAUUUGGUGUAAAGCGCAUGAAGAAACUCCAUGCAGAUGGAGCGUUGGAAUCACUUGAUUAUGAAUCAUUUGAUACUUGCGAACCAUGCCUCAUGGGCAAGAUGACUAAAACUCCGUUCUCCGGGACAAUGGAGCAAGCUAAUGGCUUAUUGGAAAUAAUACAUACCGAUGUAUGUGGUCCGAUGAGUAUUGAAGCACGUGGCGGGUAUCGUUAUUUUCUGACCUUCACAGAUGAUUUGAGCAGAUAUGGGUAUAUCUACUUAAUGAAACACAAGUCUGAAGCAUUUGAAAAGUUCAAAGAAUUUCAGAGUGAAGUGGAAAAUCAUUGUAACAAGAAAAUAAAGUUUCUACGAUCUGAUCGUGGAGGCGAAUAUUUGAGUUACGAGUUUGGCCUUCAUUUAAACAAAGUACAAUGGUUUCACAACUCGCGCCACCUGGAACACCACAACGUAAUGGUGUGUCCGAACAUCGUAACCGUACUUUAUUAGAUAUAGUGCGAUCUAUGAUGUCUCUUACCGAAUUACCACUAUCGUUUUGGGUUUAUGCAUUAGAGACAGUUGCAUUCACGUUAAAAAGGGCACCGUCUAAAUCCGUUGAGACGACACCGUAUGAACUAUGGUUUGGCAAGAAACCUAAGAUUUCGUUUCUUAAAGUUUGGGGUUGCGACACUUAUGUCAAAAGGCUUCAGCCUGAUAAGCUCAAACCCAAAGCGGAGAAGUGUGUCUUCAUAGGAUACCCUAAGGAAACAAUUGGGUAUGCCUUCUACCACAGAUCCGAAGGCAAGAUCUUUGUUGCCAAGAAUGGAGCCUUUCUAGAGAAGGAGUUUCUCUUCAAAGAAGAGAGUGGGAGGAAAGUAGAACUUGAUGAGGUAAUUGUACCUUCUCUCAAUUUGGAAAGUAGCUCACCAGAAAAAUCCGUUCCCGUGAUGCCUACACCAACUAGAGAGGAAGCUAACGAUGAUGAUCAUGAAACUUCAGAUCAAGUUGCUACUAGACCUCGUAGGUCGGACAGAGCAAAAUGUUCAAGUGGCUGCUCUUUAUACGAAAUUGUGUCAUUCCCAUGUUGCUCUGCAUUCUGCAUUGCAUUUGUUCACAUGGCUAAGUGACUGAGCAUAUCAACUCCAUGUGCUAAUUACAGUGAAGUGAUUAAAGUUAUUUAUCUUGCCUUUGCAGAGAUUACAACACCCAUUUUGACAUAGCCCUAACUACAGGAGAAGAUUAGAACAGAUGAAAGUACAAAUUUUCUAUGAACAAGCAGAAAUCAGCCCUGCUUUUUUUAUUAAUGCAAGAAACAAGAAUCUAGGGAUACCAAUUUUUACAGAUCCACAAGCAAAAGAUAAACCAAACAACUAAAUGUACAAAUAGACUACCCAAUCCCCAUAGAUACAAGAAAACGUCAGAUCUUCAUGUAUCACUGCAAGCAUGAACGUACCAAUUUGGUGGAGGCCUGGUCCAUAGAGGAGGCUCGUGUAUGAGGUGCUGCUGCUGGCGGGAGGAGCUCCUGGAGAAGGACGCCAUGCUGCUUGAGAAAGCGAGCAGGUGGAUGGUGGGGUGCUAGGUCGCGGUGCUGUCCGGAGAGAAAGCGGCGGGAGGCAGCGCUGGGGUGCGGCAGAGGGUGUUUGGGAGCACGGCGUUGGUCGGAGGAAGGAAGCCGGCGCUCGGUGCGGCAGAGGUCGAAGAAGAAGCGGCGAAGGGUGCUCGGAGAUGAAUGAGGAGGUUGCUUUGGGGCGACUGAGGGUCCUAGGGUGCGGCGAUGGUGGGGAGGAAGCCAACGCUCCAGUGGGUAGUUGGCGGCGGCGGCGGGGAGGUCGGGGUGACGUUCUAUUCGGCUAGGGUUUGAUUUGGGGAGAAAUUUGGAAACGGGCUGAGUCGAGUAGUAGUAGGAAUUUGUGAAUGGUCGGCCCGCGAAUGUUUUUCGUCUCUCGCGCGCUCGCCCGCUCUCCCGCGCGUUUAGGCCUAAAAGAAUUCACUUUCUGGCUUGCGCCAUGCCCCGGCAGUUAAUGGGUCGCAACGCAGUUCUCCCGGCAGAAAACAUGUCGUCAAUCAUCCGCGACAGUUUGUAUGCCCCAGUAACUUAUCUUCUCCCGGUAGUUUCUCUGCCCAUAUUCACUUGUGUCGGCAGUAAUGUAAUCCCCGGCAGAUUAUUUGCCUUUGAUAAGGUAUUUCUCCCGGCAGUUAACUGCCCCUAAUCAAGUGUUGUGGUGUAGUGAAAUUAUUAGCUAAGCUUAAACAAAAAAACUCUGAAUGCUAGAAUGAAAUAUGAUCCUUCUUAUGCUACUUCACCUAUCUUUGUUACUGAUAAGGAUUAUGAAUUCUCUAUUGAUCCUGAUAUAAUUACUUUGGUUGAAUCUGAUCCUUUCUAUGGCUAUGAAUCUGAAACUGUUGUGGCACAUCUUACUAAAUUAAAUGAUAUAGCCACCCUGUUCACUAAUGAUGAGAGAACUCGCUACUUUUAUAUCCUUCAAAUAUUUCCGUUCUCAUUAAAGGGUGAUGCUAAGAUAUGGUUUAAUUCUCUUGAUCCUGGUUGUGUGCGUAGUCCCCAGGAUAUGAUUUAUUACUUCUCUGCUAAAUAUUUCCCUGCUCAUAAGAAACAAGCUGCUUUAAGGGAAAUAUAUAAUUUUGUGCAAAUUGAAGAAGAGAGUCUCCCACAAGCUUGGGGGAGGCUUCUCCAAUUACUUAAUGCUUUGCCUGAUCAUCCUCUUAAGAAAAGUGAAAUACUUGAUAUCUUUUAUAAUGGACUAACCGAUGCUUCCAGAGACCACCUGGAUAGUUGUGCUGGUUCUGUUUUCAGGGAAAGAACACCGGAUGAAGCUGAAAUUCUAUUGAAUAAUAUGUUGACUAAUGAAAAUAAUUGGACACUUUCUGAACCAACUCCUAAGCCAACUCGAAGAAGAGGGGUUUCUAUUUCUCAGUCCUGAAGAUAUGCAAGAGGCAAAGAAAUCUAUGAAAGAAAAGGGUAUUAAAGCUGAAGAUGUUAAUAAUUUACCUCCUAUUGAAGAAAUACAUGGUCUUAAUUUACCGCCUGUUGAAGAAAUAUAUGGUCUUAAUUCAUCACCUAUUGAAUAAACACAUGGUCUUGAUAACCCGACACAUGUAGUAAAGGUAAAUUCUCUCUAUAGAUAUGAUAAAGCUGAAAUCCCUCCUACUAAGUUUGCUAGCCAAUGUUUGGAUGAGUUUGAUAACUUUAUGGUUAAGCAAGAAGAUCUUAAUGCUUAUUUUGGUAGACAACUAAAACAAAAUGCUUAUAUGAUUGAACACUUGGGUGAUUAUAUGUCUAGAGUUAAAGGUGAACUUAAACUCAUUAGUAAACAUGCUUCUAUGGUCACCACUCAAGUAGAACAAGUACUUAAAGCUCAGAAUGAUUUGCUCAAUGAAUUGAAUAAUAAGAAUAAUGACUAUAUUGUUAGAGUGGCUACUAGAACUGGUAAAAUGACUCAGGAACCUUUGUAUCCUGAAGGCCACCCUAAGAGAAUUGAGCAAGAUUCUCACAGAAAUAAUAUCGAUGCACCUAGUCCUUCUAAAAAGAAGAAAAAGAAAAAUGAUAGGACUUUGCAGGCUUCUAGUGAACCUAUUGCUGAAACACCUGAGAAUCCAAAUGAUAUUUCUAUCUCUGAUGCUGAAACACAAUCUGGAAAUGAACAUGAACCUAGUGACAAUGUUAAUAACGAUGUUCAUGAUGAUGCUCAACCUAGCAAUGACAAUGAAGUAGAAAUUGAACCUGUUGUUGAUCUUGAUAACCCACAAUCAAAGAAUCAACGUUACGAUAAGAGAGACUUUGUUGCUAGGAAACACGGUAAAGAAAGAGAACCAUGGGUUCAGAAGCCCAUGCCUUUUCCUCCCAACCCAUCCAAGAAAAAGGAUGAUGAGGAUUUUGAGCGCUUUGCUAAAAUGAUUAGACCUAUCUUUUUGCGUAUGCGAUUAACUGAUAUGCUCAAAAUGAAUCCUUAUGCUAAGUACAUGAAAGAAAUUGUUACUAAUAAAAGAAAGAUACCGGAAGCUGAAAUUUCCACCAUGCUUGCUAAUUAUACUUUUAAGGGUGGAAUACCAAAGUAACUUGGAGAUCUAGGAGUACCUACUAUACCAUGCUCCAUUAAAAGAAAUUAUGUUAGAACUGCUUUAUGUGAUCUUGGAGCCGGAGUUAGUGUUAUGCCUCUCUCUUUAUAUCGUAGACUUGAUUUGAAUAAGUUGACACCUACUGAAAUAUCUUUGCAAAUGCCUGAUAAAUCAACUGCUAUACCUGUCGGUAUUUGUGAGGAUGUGCCUCUUGUGGUCGCAAACGUUACUAUUUUAACGGACUUUGUUAUUCUUGAUAUUCCCGAGGACGAUAUUAUGUCUAUUUUUCUUGGAAGACCCUUUUUGAAUAAUGCAGGGGCUGUUAUUGAUUGCAACAAAGGCAAUGUCACUUUUCAUGUUAAUGGUAAUAAGCAUACGGUACACUUUCCGAGGAAACAACCUCAAGUCCACAGUAUCAAUUCUAUUGGAAAAAUUCCAUCAAUUAUUUUUGGAGGUUUGAAUUUCUUCUUCCUACUACCAAAAAGAGAUAUGAUAUUCUUAUUAUUGGGGAUGUGCAUAUCCCCGUUGAGGUAACAUAGUGUUAUUAGAAUUUUCUCAGGUUUCAUCUGAUUCAGAAUGAGUUUGUUAACAAGACCUGAUCAACCUUGUUAGUGGAUUCCUUUUGAUGAGCAUGAGACGGAUGAAGUUAGAAAGCACAACCUUCUAUACCCUCCUUUUACUUUCUGUUAUUUAGUUGAAAUAAAGUAAAAAUAGUAUUUUUCUGUCUGUUUUCUGAAUUAUCCGUGCAAUAUAAAAAUACCCCUAAAAUAAAAGUUCUCCAAAUGCCCUGAAAUUGAAAUAUGAUUUUUUUUCUGGAAUAUUUGAGAAUAUUUGGCACUGAGAACACAGCAGGGGGAGCAAGCACCUGAGCACGAGGGUCCAGGGCGCGCCCCCUGCCUCGUGGGCCCACGGUGGCUCCCCUCCACUUAUUCCUGCACCCACACACUUCUUCUUCCUCCCAAAAAAAUCACCAUCCAGCUCAAGCACGAGUUCUAGCUCAUUUUGCUGCGAUUUUCGAUCUCCUUGCUCAAAGCACCUCUCACAAAACUGCUAUGGGGGAUUGUUCCUUGGUAUGUGACUCCUCCAUUGGUCCAAUUAGUUUUUGUUCUAGUGCUUUAUUCAUUGCAAAUUUGUGCUGCCUAGGUGUGACGCCCGAGUAAUCAAGCUACAGUAACCCUCUGGUAAUGAUGCCACGUCACCUCGAUUAUUGUUGAUAAUCUCGUGUUAGUUCAGAACUGAUCCAAGUUCAUAUUUUAAUUAAAGUCAAAACAAUUAAAGUUUUCAAAAGUCAAAACUAAAUUGUUCCUAAUGUGUCAAAUAAUCCAUAAUAAAUGUAGGUGAAGAAAUCAACUUUUAAUAAAAUACUUAAAUGCACGAAAUAAACUAAAACAACGAUAAAACAAUUAUCUAAAAUGCUUUUAAAAUAAUAAGCAAAUGCAAAAUACUUUAUUUGAGUUGCCGAAAUAUUUGGGGUUGUGACCAAAUCAGUUGUCGCUUUUAAAUUUUAUAAAACUAAAAUAAAAGCAAACAGAAAAGUAAUAGAAUAAGAAAGAAAACAGAACAUAAAAAAGGAAAAGAAACCCCCCNNNNNNNNNNNNNNNNNNNNNNNNNNNNNNNNNNNNNNNNNNNNNNNNNNNNNNNNNNNNNNNNNNNNNNNNNNNNNNNNNNNNNNNNNNNNNNNNNNNNNNNNNNNNNNNNNNNNNNNNNNNNNNNNNNNNNNNNNNNNNNNNNNNNNNNNNNNNNNNNNNNNNNNNNNNNNNNNNNNNNNNNNNNNNNNNNNNNNNNNNNNNNNNNNNNNNNNNNNNNNNNNNNNNNNNNNNNNNNNNNNNNNNNNNNNNNNNNNNNNNNNNNNNNNNNNNNNNNNNNNNNNNNNNNNNNNNNNNNNNNNNNNNNNNNNNNNNNNNNNNNNNNNNNNNNNNNNNNNNNNNNNNNNNNNNNNNNNNNNNNNNNNNNNNNNNNNNNNNNNNNNNNNNNNNNNNNNNNNNNNNNNNNNNNNNNNNNNNNNNNNNNNNNNNNNNNNNNNNNNNNNNNNNNNNNNNNNNNNNNNNNNNNNNNNNNNNNNNNNNNNNNNNNNNNNNNNNNNNNNNNNNNNNNNNNNNNNNNNNNNNNNNNNNNNNNNNNNNNNNNNNNNNNNNNNNNNNNNNNNNNNNNNNNNNNNNNNNNNNNNNNNNNNNNNNNNNNNNNNNNNNNNNNNNNNNNNNNNNNNNNNNNNNNNNNNNNNNNNNNNNNNNNNNNNNNNNNNNNNNNNNNNNNNNNNNNNNNNNNNNNNNNNNNNNNNNNNNNNNNNNNNNNNNNNNNNNNNNNNNNNNNNNNNNNNNNNNNNNNNNNNNNNNNNNNNNNNNNNNNNNNNNNNNNNNNNNNNNNNNNNNNNNNNNNNNNNNNNNNNNNNNNNNNNNNNNNNNNNNNNNNNNNNNNNNNNNNNNNNNNNNNNNNNNNNNNNNNNNNNNNNNNNNNNNNNNNNNNNNNNNNNNNNNNNNNNNNNNNNNNNNNNNNNNNNNNNNNNNNNNNNNNNNNNNNNNNNNNNNNNNNNNNNNNNNNNNNNNNNNNNNNNNNNNNNNNNNNNNNNNNNNNNNNNNNNNNNNNNNNNNNNNNNNNNNNNNNNNNNNNNNNNNNNNNNNNNNNNNNNNNNNNNNNNCCAAGCCCGCGGCCGCCUCCGGCGCCGAGCCAUGCCUGCGCGGCUUCCGCCCGGGUCGGGCGACCGCGAGCCCCUGCGCCUGUAGCCGCCCAGCGCCCGUUUAGCCCCUUUGGGCCAUUGACAACUGGGCCCCACCCCUGGAACUUUUUAUAAAAAUAAUAAUAAUAAAAUUAAUUAAUUAAUAAUUUAAUUAAUUAAUUAAUUAAGUAAAUUAAUUAACCUAAUUAAUUGUAAUUAAUAAACCUAAUCGUUUUAGUUAGACUAACUAAACCAGAUUAGUUAGUCUUAGUCUAUGACAUGUGGGGCCCUUCUGUCAGUUUGACCAGUCAACGGUCAACGCUGACCGCUGACGUCAUGAUGACGCAAUAAACAUUUUCGAAUUAAAUUAAUACUAAUAAUUUAUAAAUUGAUUAAAACUUUGAAAAUUAAUAUAAAUUAAACCGUAGCUCGGAUGAAAAUACUUUGUACAUGAAAGUUGCUCAGAACGACGAGAUGAAUUCGGAUACGUAGCCCGUUCAUCCGCCACACAUCCCUAGCAUAAAGAACACGCAAGCUUCCCCCUCCGGAUCACCUGUCCGAAAACGCAAAACGCCGGGGAUACUUUCCUGGAUAUUUCCCCCUACCGCCGGUAUCACCUACUACCGAGUUAGGGCACACCUAACACUGCUCAUUGUCAUGUCAUGCAUCGUCAUGCAUAUGUUUGCAUUAUAUUUAUUGUUUCUUCCCCCUCUUCUCUCGCUAGACACCGAGACCGACGCCGCUGCUACCCAAUACGACUACGGUGUUGACGACCCCUCCUUCUCGGCUGAGCUUCCAGGCAAGCCCCCCCCCCCCCUGAUCACCAGAUAUCGCCUAUUCCUUCUCUAUACUGCUUGCAUUAGAGUAGUGUAGCAUGUUACUUCUUUCGGUUAACCCUAUUCUGAUGUAUAGCCUGUCAUUUGUUGCUACAGUUGUUACCCUUACCUGCUAUCCUACUACUUAGUAUAGGAUGCUAGAGUUCCUUCAGUGGCCCUACAUUCUUGUCCGUCUGCCAUGCUAUACUAUCGGGUCGUGAUCACUAGGGAGGUGAUCACGGGUAUAUACUAUAUACUUUAUAUACAUGACACAUGUGGUGACUAAAGUUGGGUCAGCUCGUUGAGUACCCGCAAGUGAUUCUGAUGAGGGGGCUGAAAGGACAGGUGGCUCCAUCCGGGUAGAGGUGGGCCUGGGUUCCUGACGGCCCCCGACUGUUACUUUGUGGCGGAGCGACAGGGCGGGUUGAGACCACCUAGGAGAGAGGUGGGCCUGGCCUGGUCGGCGUCCGCGGAUACUUAAUAAUAACACGCUUAACGAGUUCUUGGUAUUUGAUCUGAGUCUGGCCAUUUGGUCUAUACGCACUAACCAACUACGUGGGAAAGUUAUGGGCACUCGACGUCGUGGUAUCAGCCGAAGCCUUCGUGACGUCAGCGACUGAGCGGCGGGCGCCGGAUUGGAACGUAAGCCUGCUCCUGUAUUAAGGGGGCUAGUUCUGCUUCCGGCCGCGUACGCAACGUGCAGGUGUGCAAUGGGCGAUGGGCCCAGACCCCUGCGCCAUAGGAUUUAGACCGGCGUGCUGACCUCUCUGUUGUGCCUAGGUAGGGCUGCGACGUGUUGAUCUUCCGCGGCCGGGCAUGACCUAGAAAAGUGUGUCCGGCCAAAUGGGAUCGAGCGUGUUGGGUUAUGUGGUGCACCCCUGCAGGGAAGUUUAUCUAUUCGAAUAGCCGUGUCCCUCGGUAAAAGGAUGACCCGGAGUUGUACCUUGACCUUAUGACAACUAGAACUGGAUACUUAAUAAAACACACCCUUCCAAGUGCCAGAUAUAACCCGGUGAUCGCUCUCUAACAGGGCUACAAGGAGAGGAUCGCCGGGUAGGAUUACGCUAUAUGAUGCUACUUGGUGAACUUACCAUCUACUCUCUUCCACAUGCUGCAAGAUGGAGGCUGCCAGAAGCGUAGUCUUCAACAGGAUUAGCUAUCCCCCUCUUAUUCUGGCAUUCCACAGUUCAGUCCACCGAUAUAGCCCCUUUACACAGAUACCCAUGCAUAUGUAGUGUAGAUCCUUGCUUGCGAGUACUUUGGAUGAGUACUCACGGUUGCUUUUCUCCCUCUUUUCCCCCUUUCCAUUCUACCUAGUUGUCGCAACCAGAUGCCGGAGCCCAGGAGCCAGACGCCACCGUCGACGAUGACUCCUACUACACUGGAGCUGCCUACUACUACGUGCAGGCUGCUGACGACGACCAGGAGUAGUUUAGGAGGAUCCCAGGCAGGAGGCAUGCGCCUCUUUCGGUCUGUAUCCUAAUUUGUGCUAGCCAUCUUAAGGCAAACUUGUUUAACUUAUGUCUGUACUCAGAUAUUGUCGCUUCCGCUGACUCGUCUAUGAUCGAGCACUUGUAUUCGAGCCCUCGAGGCCCUUGGCUUGUAUUAUGAUGCUUGUAUGACUUAUUUUAAUUUUAGAGUUGUGUUGUGAUAUCUUCCCGUGAGUCCCUGAUCUUGAUCGUACACGUUUGCAUGUAUGAUUAGUGUACGAUUGAAUCGGGGGCGUCACACUAGGUGACCAUGUUCUGGAGCUUGCAUGUCAAAUUUAUAUGGUUCCAAGUAGUUCUAAUGCAUGAUAUAGGCUCUAGCACUUGUAGGAGUAGUUGCUAUCAAUUUUGUUGAGCUUGGUUCACUUUUAUUUGAAGUUACUAAAAAUUUCAGAAAUUUUUCAGAGGAAGAAAUAUGUUUAGGAAAAUGUACCAAGGUGGUCCUUCAAGGAAGCAAGGACCCAGGCUUGCAAUGCGCGAUGCUGACGAUGAACCACCAAGGGACGCUCCAGCGCGGCCUUGUGAAUGGCCUUCAGAGGACUUCAUGGAUCAAGAAGGAAUUAAGGAACAAUUUAACGCAUAUUUGCGUAACACUGAUCUUGUGAGCUUCGAGGUAGAAAAGUGUCGUCAGUACCACUAUCUCACUAGUUCCUUCGUGAGGAGGUUUGAAUUUUCAUCUACACGCAAUUCUCAAACUGUCCCGUUUGAUCUUUAUGAAAAUUCUUAUACUAUGGACUUAGAGGAUUUUACCACUGCUUGCAAACUUCCACAAUGGGGUAGUACUAGUGAACCUCGCAAAUCUGAAUUUAGAGAUUUUCUUGCUAGUAUAACUGUGGGGGAAUCUAGAGACAUAGCACAAGCUACCAUAGGGAGCAUUCAUUUUCCUGCUUUACAUUAUUUUGCUCCCUUCAUAGGUAGGUGCAUAAAUGGUAAGGAUGAAGCAUGUCACAUGUGUGUCCCUGACCUCAGUAUUCUCAGGAGUGCUAUUUUAGGAGAUAAACAUUAUAAUUUGGGAGCCAUUGUUGCACAUAGGUUGCAUCAUAAUAGAUUUAAUGGAGAUUUCUUUGGGGGAAUUUAUCCAACCCGUAUAGCUAAUUUCCUUGGUAUAACUAUACGUGAGGAUGAUAUUGAGUUGCCUCCUGCUUGUUUAGAUUAUGAGGCUAUGGUGCGUCAUCGUUUUGUUGAGAGAAACGAUCAGUUCCUCCAGUACCGACUAAUCUUUGACAGACGAAGCACUUAUCACGUCGCUCUCCCUGCUUCUACUUUCUUUGACUUUCAGGCAAAGGGGAGAUAUUACAUAACCAGAGAGGAGGCGGAGGAGUAUAAGAGGAGGGCUGAGAUAGCUCGCCUCCAAGCUGCAGCCCACGAUGCAAUGACUGCUGCAUCUUAGUACGACCCCAACUAUCACUUUGGAUAUCCGUCAGGCCAUCCGUGGCAAUAGACCAACUUAGGCCAAAAGCCUAAGCUUGGGGGAGUACGUAUUUCUCACCGACAUUACAUUUAUGUUCACACACUCAUUGCUAGAUGUCGGUGCUCAUACUCUUUCAUUGUACUAUCCAUGCUAGUUUAUUUUCUUUUUCUUGCUUUCUUCUUGUGUGUUUAAUGAACCUUAAGAAAAACCAAAAGAAUUAGUUGUAGCUUUCAGCUAGUUUACUUUUCCUGCUGUAGUAGUAAUAAUUAAAAAGAAAACCCAAAAAGACUUCCCGUUCUUCUUUUGCUUGUUGGGAGCUUUCCCGUGUAAAUAGUUUUAUUUUAUUUCUUUUCUUUGGGGGUCGAUAGGAGAAGACCAUGAUGAAAUUGUUAAAGUGACUCUUAUAUGCAUUAUUGUUGAUUUAACCAAGAGCCCAUAUUGCCUUGUCUUCUCCUGUUUAUUGAAUGCUCGCAGAUUCCAGCUUAGUCCAAUGCACGUGCACUAUUAUUAUUAUUCACAUCGUUCGGUCGUGCAAGUGAAAGGAAAUUAUGACGAUAUAUGAAGAAUUGAUUGAGAUGAGAGAAGCUGGUAUGAACUCGACCUCUCUUGUUUUUGUAAAUAUGAUUAGUUCAUCGUUCCUGAUUUAGCUUAUUAUGAAUAAACAUGUUUGCAAUGAGAAUUAGAGAUUAUAGUUGCUUAUGCCAUGCUUAAUUAGCUAGGAGUUUAUAAUGGUUUACCUUGCGUGCCAACAUGCUAUUAAAAUGGUUGUGAUGUGGUAUGAUGGGGUGGUAUCCUCCUUUGAAUGAUUCAAGUGACUUGACUUGGCACAUGUUCACACAUGUAGUUGAAACAAAAUCAACAUAGCCUUCACAAUAUUUAUGUUCAUGGUGGAUUAUAUCCUACUCAUGCUUGCACUCAAUGUUUAUUAAUUUUAAUGCAUGUUCAUGACUGUUGUCGCUCUCUAGUUGGUCGCUUCCCAGUCUUUUUCUAGCCUUCACUUGUAAUAAGCGGGAAUACUGCUUGUGCAUCCAAUCCCUUAAACCGCAAAGUUAUUCCAUAUGAGUCCACUGUACCUUCCUAUAUGCGGUAUCUACCUGCCGUUCCAAGUAAAUUUGUAUGUGCCAAACUCUAAACCUUCAAAUGAAAUUCUGUUUUGUAUGCUCGAAUAGCUCAUGUAUCAACUAGGGAUGUCCAUAUCUUCCAUGUUAGGCGGGUUAUUCUCAAGAGGAGUGGACUCCACUCCUCACUCACGAGAAAAUGGCUGGUCACCGGGAUGCCCAGUCCCAUGCUUUAUGCAAAUCAAAUCAAAAUAAUUGCAAACAAAACUCCCCCGGGGCUGUUGCUAGUUGGUGGCACUCGUUGUUUCGAGCCAGCCAUGGAUUGAUACUUGUUGGUGGAGGGGGAGUAUAAACUUUACCAUUCUGUUUGGGAACCGCCUAUAAUGUGUGUAGCAUGGAAGAUGACAAUGAAAGUAUACCGCUCAAAAUAUUAUUUAUCUCUAUUUCAAAACCGAGCUCUGGCACCUCUACAAAUCCCUGCUUCCCUCUGCGAAGGGCCUAUCUAUUUACUUUUAUGUUGAAUCAUCACCCUCUUAUUAGAAAGCACCAGCUGGAGAGCACCGCUGUCAUUUGCAUUCAUUACUAUUAAUUUAUAUUGGGUAUGACUAUGACUGGAUCUCUUUUACCAUGAAUUACAAUGUCUAGUCAGUACUUGGUCUUUAAAAGUGCUCUGCAUUUAUGUUUUGCGGUCUCAGAAAGGGCUAGCGAGAUACCAUCUUGUUAUAUCAUAUCAUGAUUGUUUUGAGAAAGUGUUGUCAUCCGAGAUUUAUUAUUAUUGCUCGCUAGUUGAUUAUGCCAUUGAUAUGAGUAAACAUGAGACCUAAACGUUAUUGUGAAUAGGGUUAGUUCAUAAUCUUUGCUGAAAACUUGAAUGCUGGCUUUACAUAUUUACAACAACAAGAGCAAACAGAGUUUGUAAAAGUUUUUCUUUAUCACUUUCAGUUUAUCAACUGAAUUGCUUGAGGACAAGCAAAGGUUUAAGCUUGGGGGAGUUGAUACGUCUCCGUCGUAUCUACUUUUCCAAACACUUUUGCCCUUGUUUCAGACUCUAACUUGCAUGAUUUGAAUGGAACUAACCCGGACUGACGCUGUUUUCAGCAGAAUUGCCAUGGUGUUAUUUAUGUGCAGAAACAAAAGUUCCAGGAAUGACCUGAAACUUCACGGAGAUUAUUUUUGGAAAAUAUAAAAAAUAUUGGCGAAAGAAUCAAGGUCAGGGGGCCCACACCCUGGGCACGAGGGUGGGGGGCGCGCCCUACCCCCUGGGUGCGCCCCCCUGCCUCGUGGGCCCCCUGGAGCUCCAUCGACCUCAACUCCAACUCCAUAUAUUCCUGUUCGGGGAUAAAAUAAUCAGAGAGAAACUUUCAUCGUGUUUUACGAUACGGAGCCGCCGCCAAGCCCUAAAACCUCUUGGGAGGGAUGAUCUGGAGUCCGUUCGGGGCUCCGGAGAGGGGAAUCCGUCGCCAUCGUCAUCAUCAACCAUCCUCCAUCACCAAUUUCAUGAUGCUCACCGUCGUGCGUGAGUAAUUCCAGCGUAGGCUUGCUGGACGGUGAUGGGUUGGAUGAGAUUUAUCAUGUAAUCGAGUUAGAUUUGUCAGGGUUUGAUCCCUAGUAUCCACUAUGUUUUGAUAUUGAUGUUGCUAUGACUUUGCUAUGCUUAAUGCUUGUCACUAGGGCCCGAGUGCCAUGAUUUCAGAUCUGAACCUAUUAUGUUUUCAUGAAUAUAUGUGAGUUCUUGAUCCUAUCUUGCAAGUCUAUAGUCACCUACUAUGUGUUAUGAUCCAGCAACCCCGAAGUGCCAAUAAUCGGGACCACUCCCGGUGAUGACCAUAGUUUGAGGAGUUCAUGUAUUCACUAUGUGUUAAUGCUUUGGUCCGGUACUCUAUUAGAAGGAGGCCUUAAUAUCCCUUAGUUUCCGCUAGGACCCGCUGCCACGGGAGGGUUGGACAAAAGAUGCCAUGCAAGUUCUUUUCCAUAAUCACGUAUGACUAUAUUCGGAAUACAUGCCUACAUUACAUUGAUGAAUUGGAGCUAGUUCUGUGUCACCCUAUGUUUUGACUGUUACAUGAUGAACCGCAUCCGGCAUAAUUCUCCAUCACCGAUCCAAUGCCUACGAGCUUUUCACAUAUUGUUCUUCGCUUAUUUACUUUUCCGUUGCUACUGUUACAAUCACUACAAAACCCAAAAAUAUUACUUUUGCUACCGUUACUGUUACUUCCAUAUUACUUUGCUACUAAAUACUUUGCUGUAGAUAUUAAGUUAUCCAGGUGUGGCUGAAUUGACAACUCAGUUGCUAAUACUUGAGAAUAUUCUUUGGCUCCCCUUGUGUCGAAUCAACAAAUUUGGGUUGAAUACUCUACCCUCGAAAACUGUUGUGAUCCCCUAUACUUGUGGGUUAUCAGGGGCGCACCAAGGGGGAGUCCAACUAGGAUUCCCAAUCCUAGUUGGACUCCCUUUCCUAUUCCAAGAGGGGGAAGGAGGGAAGGAGAGGGAGAGGAAGAGGAAACAGGGGGUCGCGCCCCCUCCCCCUAGUCCAAUUCGGACUGCCCUUGGUGGGCGCCACCCUAUGGGCUGCCCUCUCCUACUCCCUUAUGGCCCAUCUAGGCCCAUAACUUCCCCGGGGGGUUCCGAUAACCCCUCCAUUCCCCGAUAAAUAUCUGAAACGUCUCGAAAGCUUUUCGGUGUCCGAAUACCUUCGUCCAAUAUAUCAAUCUUUACCUCUCAACCAUUUCGAGACUCCUCGUCAUGUCCGUGAUCUCAUCCGGGACUACGAACAAACUUCGGUCACCAAAACACAUAACUCAUAAUACAAAUUGUCAUCGAACGUUAAGCGUGCGGACCCUAUUGUGACACCCAAAAUUUUUAUUGGAUUUUUUCAAACUUUUAUUUUUAUUUUGAGGAGGGUACUUAAAACUUUCUUCUAAAGAACCCACCCUCUCAAAAACUUUCUUUUAUGGCAAGUGUUUUAUUUGGAUUCACCCAAGACUUGAUUUUGGUCUUGGAGGUUUUCCCUUUUUACUUGGACUCAAAACCAAAUGCUUUUCACUUGGGAAAAUUUCUUUUGAAAAAUCCUUUAAAUAGCCCUAUGGCAUUUUGAAGUGAUCUUCUCCCCUUUUCAAAAAUCCCUCUUGCCAUGACCUAAGGGGAAAUCCACUGCCAUAACCUUUUUCCCAUCUUUGGAUCAUGUUAUACCUCAAAUCCAGCAAGUUGAACCACCCCAUAUUUUUGUUUCCAUUUAUUUUCCCAUCAAAAACAAUUUUUGCCUUCUAUCUUGAUCCUUGGAGAUUUACAAAGGAGCUACCCUUUCUGCUUUGAGUUUUGUCUCCAAACCAAUUUCCCUAGCUAGUCCUUUGAGCCCUCAACCAAGAUCCAUGAAGAUCCACUGGUCUCCAGUUCAAAUUUUUCAAACUACACUUGCUGCAAGUUUGGACCAGAUUUGCCAAAUUUGAUGAAAUUCAUUUGAAUCCUCCUCCUAAAAAUCUGAGAAAUAUCAGGCAGCCCCUGGGUGCAUUGAGAGGUCACCUCACCAAAUCCCAACUCCAGGAAAAAAAUUCUUCAUGCCAAAUCAUUUCGACGAACACGUACUGGACACUGUUGCUGUCAUGUUCAGUUAAGUUCAGAGAACAGUUUCAGUGCACUGUCGUUUUCUUCAGUGUUCGUUGUCCAUCUCGCCAGAGUCGCUGUGGCGCCUUGCUCCCCGUCCCCUCCCCCUUGUCCUCUGCACCGCACGAGCGCCUGGAAGGUUGCGGGCGUCGGCGACGAGCAGGAGGAGGUGCGUCGCCCCGUGACCGACGGCAGCGAUGGCUUUGCGGCCGCCAGAGAGAGGCGCAGCGCAGACGGCGCCGUCCAGCGCCGCCCAAGCCACUGGAGGCCGCCGCGUGGCCCUCCACUCCCCCGUGCGCGCUGCCACCCUCGUCGUGAACCGCUAGGCGCAGAGCGCGCUCUCUGCCGCCGCCGUGCCCGUACGGCCACCCCGUCGAGGACCGGCGCCAUUACGCCAAGACCGACCAAGAUUAGCAGGGGAACGGCACCAGUACACCUCCCUGAUGCUGCCUGGCCACUUAAGCUCCCAGCCAAGCCAUUGCCUCGCCGUAAUUGCUCGCCGGAGCGAUCCCGUUCACGGCCACCCCCUCGAACCGCCUAUAAAUAGAGGCCCCGAGCUCCAACUCGAACCCACACCACCUCUGCACUCCACCUAGACCACACCUAGCCACUGGAAGAGCCCCGAGGGAGCUUUCUUCCCCAGCUCCGGCCGCCGCGACCCGCCACGGGAUCCAGCUCGAUUCGCUCCCGUGCAUGCACCUCUAACCCCCAACUCUUGCCAGUAGCUCUCUUAUGCAUCCACUCUCCUGACCCACGCUUCAAUUCGGGGUUUGCAGCAACCACCGGAGUUCUCCACCAUCGCCCGAGCCGCCGUCCGCCGGAGAAAGUGUCGCCAUCGACGUGGUGCUCUCCGGCGACCAAGUCCACCACCCACCGACGCGGAAGAACACGCUGAAACUCUUGGUACACUCCGAUCUCCCUGUCUCGCCGUGGUUCAACGCCGGCGACCACCGCAGUCUUCGGGCGCCGGCGAGGUUUUCAAACCUGACAUGUGGACCCCCCACGUCAGCCUCUCUUCCUUCUCUCCCUCGAAACGUUUUCUGUGGGCGCCUUCGGGCAGAAUACGCUUUCCCUUUGGGCUGACGUCUUUCCCUCCGAACCGUUUUCUAUUUUCUCAGUUAAGUCCCUGGAUCUUUUCUGUUUCAUCACAGAUUGGUCCCUGGACUAAAACCCUUAUAACUUUUUAACAAAAGGUGAUUUUUGAGUGAUUCUUUUUCUGUCAGUCUUGUAUUUUUGUCUAGUUUUUUAUAGUAUUUAUUUGGAAAAAAUUUGGGACAACUUUUAUGCACGCGUUGAUUUUCACGUUAGUAUACGUUUUCGCUAUACCGUAGGUUCCGGAAGAGGUGAAGGAGCCGCGAACUUCGCCGAGCUAGACUCCGACUUCUCUGAACCAGGCAAGCAUGUUUGAACCUUUGAUAUGACGGGUGUUUUGCAUGUUGCUUGAAUGGUUUGUGCAUGGCAUAUGAGCAUCGGUGAGUAUCUCGUUGCAUGUAAGGCAACUACCCGUGUGGUCCAAAGUUACGGUGAUCUCUGAUGAGAGAUAGCCUAGUCAUGUGGUGACAUGAAAGGUAGUAAGGUGGUAUUGUUGUAGCAUGCCAGCCUUACGAUGUCCGAUAAACUCCGAUGUUAACGUGGACUGAGUCACGUUAUCGUUCUUCCCCUAUCCGUGCCGCCACAUGUUUUCUGCCAAGAAUACGGUUUAGUAAGUUGGUAACCUCUUUCCGUGUACACACCAAAUAGAGGGGCCGGGAUGAGGGUUCCAUGGCCCUGGAUUAAAGCCAGUCAUCCGGUCAGGGGGCAUGGUUGUUUCCGGUUGGGACCGAGAGGGGGGGCACCCCCUUAGAGCGCGCGUAUAUAAAUUUGAUCCCAUGCUACGCGAGGUUGUAGCCUCCCCGUCUCAAGGUUUUUCUUGAACGUUGCUGGGGGUGAUUCCUGGCUUCGGAAUGUUGAAUGGGUGUGUACUGGUUAGAUGUGCUUCUUCCAAAACUCCGUAAACGGAACUAGUCCCCGUGACUACUGAAAUCCGUUGUCUGUGGUUAAAGUACAAACUCUGCAGAGUCAAAUCCUUCCGAGUCAUCGUAUCUAUGGUCAAGGAUCAUGGCCAGUAUACCCAUAUCUAUGUCAAUCCUCGUGGUAAAAUCCCCGGUGAACAGGCUUGAGUGGUAAACCCAGUUUAAUUGUUAUUCCUGUGGAUGGACUAACUCUUCUUACUUAUUUCGUACUUGAUGUGAUUAUAUUUUUGAGCUACUGAAUUAUUAAGUUAUGAUAUAAGCCCUUUAUGUGAUGUCGCUCAAACGUCCGACUGUGGCACUCUUGUUACUCUACCUUUGAUAUAAGCCCUUUAUGUGAUGUCGCUCAGACUUCCAACUGUGGCACGCACCGUCAUUUAUAUUAUGUUAUAAGCCCUUUGUGUGGUGUCGCCUUGACGCCCGACUGUGGCAUUGUUAUUUCCUUUGUUUUUUCCUCUCGAGGAGUCAUUGAGACACUCGUUUGGCACUCAGUAUUAGUUUGAGAUUUCGGGAGGACUACCGCCCGACUUCUCCUUGUUUUUCCCAUGCAUUAUUAUCUCGUUGUCUGAAUGCACUUGUUAAUCUGUUCCUAUGCAUCAUGUUUACAUUUGUUAUAUCUUAUGUCCGAACUGUCUUGCGAGUACUUUCAUAGUACUCACCUGGCUUGUUGAUUUGGCCAGAUGUUGACGAAGGCGAUAUCAUGGAUGAAGAGUUUGAUAGUGAGUCCGAUGCCUAGAGGAAUCCCAGUCAGUCCCGUGCGAUCCUGGAUUUUGGUCACUUGUAUCAUAUACGCUUCCGCCACCCACAAUAAAUAUCCUCGAGCCUCACUCCGACGCUCGAAGAGCUGUUAGUUUUCAGGAGUCAUAUCACCCACUUCGCUGUGAUAUAUCCACCACCGCUUUUGUCGUGAGUUAGUAGUUAUGCCACCCUAUCCGCCGUUAUGUUUUAUCGGCGCGCUUGUAAUAAAUUGUUGAGCAGUCUCCGCUCAACUUUGUAUUAUACUCAGUACUCCUGGUAUUUUUCUUCUGUGAUCAAGAUUUUGUCUACCAGUAAGAAGGGAUUCUUCUUUACUAGUCCGUAAAAGGGAUCGGUCUCUCAAUAAAUAUUUUUAUUGGAAAACCGGUCGUGACAAGCUUGGUAUCAGAGCCAGGCUGACUCUAGGAAGCCACUAGGUGCGAUCGCUAAUCGGUUAUUAGCGUCUUUUGCGCUUUUUCAGCAUUUUGGAAUUGUAGCUAUUUUCUGUUGGUCAUCAUAAAUUUAUGACAUGACUACUCAGAACUUUUGCCUACUUUUGUAGAUGGCUGGCAGCAACUGCGAGACUCGGGUGUUCACUAAUGUGCCCGAGGGGUUUGUCAAACUCCUCGUCUCCAUCACCAAGCUCGCGAUCGGGCCAGCGACUUGUCCGGAGUUCACGCUUUACCAGCACAAGCUCAGCGAUGACGUGUCUAUGCACCAGGCCAUGGUGCAAUUCAAGGGAGGACGUUCGGCGUCUCGCCACUUCCGUUUUGUGGGAAGGGCCAUGCCUACGGAGAGGCAUGCCAUGCAGAUGGCUGCCCGUGAGGCGAUAGCUCGCCUUCGGGACAUUCUUCCUACGAUGAAGACUCGUCGCUACCGCUACCUCCCUUGCCAUGUGCCAUAUACUUGUCACUAUGCAUUCGCCUGCCAUAGGGGAGAGCGAGAUGAAGCCAUCGAGAUGGUUGUUGAGUACCUCAAAGCUCUGGAGGAAUCCUUCGACAACCUCGUGGACGAUCUUGUGGCUGCCCGCAUGGACUUAGUUCGGGGCGGUCCUGCCAGCAGGAAGGAGCUUCUCCACACGGCACCGCCUCUGACUUUCGUCUCGUCCUCAGCAUCUUAUGCACCGGCCAUUUUGGCCACUGCUCGCCGUCUGCCUACCACUGAGGAGUUCGACCGAGUCAUCGCCCUACUCCAGUCAGAGCUGCACCACCUGCCGCACCCGCACUGCCGCUUGUCGCACCCGCGCCAUCACCUCAGCGCAGUGCUACGCGCCUGGAGCCUGCUAGAGAGGAGGUGGAGGUUGAGUCUCCUGCACCGCUGGGUCUUACCCUCGGCAAAGGGAAGGAAAUCUUCACCAUCUCCGACUGAGUGCGCCGAGUAGCCGCGCGUUGUGUCUGCAUGUAUGUUAUGUUUCAUGUACUUGAGUUUGUAGUAGUUGUGUGCGCUGCAUUCCGGAGGAAUGCGCUAGUCCAAAUAACAUGUCAGGAAUGUGUACGCACAUCCUGAGUGCUGUAUCAUUUGUUUGCGUAUCGCGUGUAAGAUUUGUGUUUUAGCAGUCAUUUCUCCGAGCGAAAUCGUUUAUGUUUUCUUGAAAAAUCUUGAGGUCUUUUAAAUUUUUGCCUUUGCAAGAUUUUCCGGGUGCCACACAGUUCUUCUUAUGAAUUUUGCUAAAUAAUACCCCAGAGUGGAAAAUGUCUCGUCCGUGGACUCGUUCCAUGCCCAAUCAACAAGAAGAAGUUUAUGAGACACAGACCAGCAACAACUUCACUCAGGGACAGUCUAGUCAAUAGGACAGCGAAGCAGCUUUAUCCCAAGUAUGCCGCCUCUUCGAACAAAGCCAGCAACAACACCAGGAAAUGAUGAAUCACGUCAUCAAUAUGGGGAAUCACCGUGAGCCAUAUCAACCCCACUCCAAGUUGUCUGAGUUACAGAAGACUCGCCCUCCAACAUUUGCUCACACGGAUAGGCCACUUGAAGCCGAUGAUUGGCUUCGUGACAUCGAAAGAAAGCUGAUUAUUGCACAGUGUUCAGAUCAUGAGAAGGUGCUUUAUGCACCCCACUACCUUACUGGAGCAGCUGCAGCAUGGUGGGAAAACUUCCUACACAUGCAUCCCAGUGAACACAACAUCACCUGGGAAGAGUUUAAGGAAGGCUUUUGUGGGGCACACAUCCCCAGGAGCAUCAUAAAAAUCAAGAAGAGAGAAUUUGAUGACCUCAAGCAAAGAGGCAUGUCAGUGAUAGAAUACAAUGGUCAGUUUACCCAGCUAUCUCGCUAUGCCUACGACGAGCACAUGACAGAGAACAAGAGGAUGGAAAAAUUCUUGGAUGGCCUGGCACCAGCAUUAAGAUGCCAACUGGUCAUGCACACUUUCCUGGAUUUUAAAACCCUGGUUGACAAGGCCAUUACCUUGGAGAAUGAGCGCCGCAGCCUGGAGGAUAUCCGUAAGCGGAAAAGGGACAAGACGACCCUCGCUCGCAACAAUCGAUGCAAGACUGAGGUUCCGAGGAAUGAAGCAAGGAAACCCACGACUACUGAUCUAAGGCCAACCAGGCAGUUUCAUUCAAGGGACAAGGACUUCACGUACCAUCCAGGGGUCACUUGCUACGCUUGUGGUGAAGAGGGGCACUAUGCCAAACAGUGCCCAAAGCCAAGGAACUCGGCCCCCAAGCCAAACAAUGGUGGGAACAAUCCAGCCCCCAAGCGCAACAAUUUCAACCCCAACAACAAUCACAGGAAGGGUCACCUGAACCAUCUGACCAGGGAAGAAGCGCAGAAUGCCCCAGACAUCGUGCUUGGUACGUUCCCUGUCAACACAGUACCUGGCACGGUUUUGUUUGAUUCUGGAGCUUCUCAUUCGUUCGUUUCGAAGAGUUUUGUUUCACAACAUGGUUUUCCGAUACUUCCCUUGGAAAAAUCUAUGAUCAUCAAGUCCCCCGGAAAUAAGCAAAUCGCCCAGAGUUACUGCAAAGGAGUAAUCAUUGAGUUUGAAGGAUUAAAGUUUCAAGCUAAUCUCAUCGUGUUGGAAAAUAAAGGACUGGAUGUCAUCCUAGGGAUGGACUGGUUGACCACCAACAAAGGAUUUAUUGACUGUUUCAAUCGUACUGUGAUUCUCACUCAUCAUCGCGGCAAGACAAUAAAGGUUACAGCUCAAGAAAGACCACGGUCACGGCAACCAAAGCUGAACAAAGUGGACAUUUCGGAAUUGAGAAAAGUUCCAGUGGUGUGCGAGUUUCCAGACGUAUUCCCUGAGGAACUACCAGGCAUGCCGGCAGACCGAGAGAUAGAAUUCAGCAUCGAACUAGCACCUGGCACCGCUCCCAUCUAUAAGAAACCUUAUAGAAUGGCACCCUCAGAAUUGGUAGAACUGAAGAAGCAGAUAAAGGAGCUAUUGGACAAAGGAUUUAUUCGAGCCAGCUCCUCACCAUGGGGUUCACCAGUGUUGUUCGCCAAGAAAAAGGAUGGGACACUGAGACUAUGUAUAGACUAUCAAGCUCUCAAUAUGGUCACCAUCAAAAACAAAUAUCCGAUGCCACGGAUAAAUGAUUUGUUUGACCAACUCGCGCAGGCCAAAGUGUUCUCAAAAAUUAAUUUAAGAUCGGGAUAUCAUCAACUGAAAGUACGGACUGAAAAUAUCCCUAAGACAGCAUUCACUUCCAGAUAUGGAUUAUAUGAGUUCACAGUAAUGCCAUUUGGAUUAACGAACGCCCCCGCAUAUUUCGUCCACCUCAUGAACAAAGUAUUUAUGAAGUUUAUGGACAAAUUUGUUGUGGUGUUCAUCGACGAUAUUCUGGUAUAUUCAAGGACACCGGAAGAGCAUGCUGAGCAUCUCAUAAUUGUUCUGGGAGAAUUAAGGAAACAUUAGUUGUACGCCAAAUUUCGCAAGUGUGAAUUUUGGCUAAGGCAAGUUGGUUUCCUAGGCCAUAUAUUAACCCAAGAAGGCGUGGCCGUAGACCCAGAAAAGGUCAAAGCCAUACUUGACUGGAAGCCACCAGCCAACGUGACAGAUGUGCGGAGUUUCCUGGGAAUGGCCGGAUAUUACCGGAGAUUUAUUGAAGGAUUCUCCACUGUGGCAAAACCAAUGACACAAUUGCUCAAGAAGGACAAGAAGUUUGUAUGGACGGAAGCAUGCGAGAAAAGCUUCCAAGAACUCAAGAAGAAACUAACAACAGCACCAGUUUUGACCGUGCCAGACAUACACAAGAGUUUUGAAGUGUAUUGUGACGCAUCUCGUAAAGGUCUCGAAUGUGUACUGAUGCAGGAUGGCAAAGUUGUCGCGUAUGCUUCCCGGCAACUACGGAAGCAUGAGGAAAAUUAUCCAACUCAUGACUUGGAGCUAGCAGCGGUCAUCCAUGCACUCAAGGAAUGGAGGCACUUUCUGUUGGGUAAUCGUUGUGAAAUAUAUACGGACCAUAAGAGCCUUAAAUAUAUUUUCACCCAACCAGAGCUAAAUUUACGCCAACGACGCUGGUUGGAAUUGGUCAAGGACUAUGAUGUCGGUAUUCACUAUCAUCCAGGGAAGGCCAAUGUAGUGGCAGAUGCCCUUAGUCGGAACCCCAGCCCGGGCAACGACAGCCCACAAAACUUGAGACCUGAGUUUCAGCAGGAGUUCGUUAAACUCAACAUGGUGUUGGUCUCUGAAGGCACCGUAUCGAAUCUGGAGAUACAUCCCACCCUAAUGGAACAAAUUAAGAAGGCUCAGCAAGGGCACCCCAGCAUCGAAGGAAUAAAGAAAAAAAUGAGUCUUGGCAAGGCUUCAGAGUUCGUCACAGACAAUGAAGGAAUAUUAUGGUACGGGGACAGACUUUGCGUACCUAACAUUGAGGAACUCAAGCAACAAGUCCUAACCGAAAGCCACACCGCUCCAUACUCAAUCCACCCUGGAGGAACCAAAAUGUAUAAAGACAUUCAGGAAAGAUUUUGGUGGCACGGUAUGAAAAGGGAUAUAGCCGCAUUUAUUGCUUGUUGCGAUUCAUGUCAGUGCAUCAAGGCCGAGCAUCAAAAGCCAGCAGGGCUACUCCAGCCAAACAAGAUACCGGAGUGGAAAUGGGAUGAAAUAGGAAUGGACUUCAUCGUCGGACUACCUCGAUCGCAACGCGGAAAUGACGCCAUAUGGGUCAUCACAGAUAGGCUAACUAAGGUAGCCCAUUUCAUCCCCGUGAAGACAACCUACUCCACACAAAGGCUAGCCAAGCUUUAUCUCUCCCGUAUAGUCUGUCUGCAUGGAUUCCCAAAGACUAUAAUAUCAGACCGAGGCACUCAAUUUGUCUCUAAAUUUUGGGAUCACCUGCAACAAGCUCUGGGCACGAAACUAGCUUUCAGUACAGCGUACCACCCUCAGACUGAUGGACAAACGGAACGCGUAAACCAAAUCUUGGAGGACAUGCUGAGAGCCUGUGUGCUCACCUAUGGAUCCAGUUGGGAAGAAAGUUUGUCGUAUGCCGAGUUUGCUUACAACAACAGUUACCAGGCCAGCCUGCAAAUGGCACCCUUUGAAGCAUUGUACGGACGGAGGUGUCGUACCCCAUUGAAUUGGUCAGAAACAGGUGACAGUCGUAUCUUCGGCCCAGACAUGCUCAAGGAGGCCGAGGAGAAGGUUAAACAGAUCAGGGACAGACUCAAGACCGCUCAAAGCCGACAAAAGAGCUAUUACGAUCAAAAACAUCGUGAGGUCAGCUUUGAACCCGGUGACUCCGUAUAUCUACGAGUAUCUCCUAUGAGGGGCCUGCAACGGUUCAAAAUUAAGGGGAAGCUAGCCCCGAGAUUUAUUGGACCAUUCUGUGUGAUUGCACCAAGAGGCACAGUAGCCUACCAACUAGACCUACCCAAGGAGCUGUCAGACGUCCACGACGUGUUCCACGUCUCACAGUUGAGGAAAUGUAUGAGUAACCCGGAAAAGCAUGUGUCUCAUGAGAGCAUUGAUGUGCAACCAGAUCUCACCUACAGAGAACGGCCAGUAAAGAUAUUGGAAGAGUCUGAACGGAGGACCCGACAGAAAACAACUAAAUUUUUCAAAGUCCAGUGGAGCAACCACACCGAGGAUGAAGCUACAUGGGAAAGAGAAGAUUUUCUUCAGCCAGAGUAUCCAUAUCUAUUUGAGGAUCAGCAGUAAUCUCGAGGACGAGUUUUUUCCUAAGGGGGUAGGUGUUGUGACACCCAAAAUUUUUAUUGGAUUUUUUCAAACUUUUAUUUUUAUUUUGAGGAGGGUACUUAAAACUUUCUUCUAAAGAACCCACCCUCUCAAAAACUUUAUUUUAUGGCAAGUGUUUUAUUUGGAUUCACCCAAGACUUGAUUUUGGUCUUGGAGGUUUUCCCUUUUUACUUGGACUCAAAACCAAAUGCUUUUCACUUGGGAAAAUUUCUUUUGAAAAAUCCUUUAAAUAGCCCUAUGGCAUUUUGAAGUGAUCUUCUCCCCUUUUCAAAAAUCCCUCUUGCCAUGACCUAAGGGGAAAUCCACUGCCAUAACCUUUUUCCCAUCUUUGGAUCAUGUUAUACCUCAAAUCCAGCAAGUUGAACCACCCCAUAUUUUUGUUUCCAUUUAUUUUCCCAUCAAAAACAAUUUCUGCCUUCUAUCUUGAUCCUUGGAGAUUUACAAAGGAGCUACCCUUUCUGCUUUGAGUUUUGUCUCCAAACCAAUUUCCCUAGCUAGUCCUUUGAGCCCUCAACCAAGAUCCAUGAAGAUCCACUGGUCUCCAGUUCAAAUUUUUCAAACUACACUUGCUGCAAGUUUGGACCAGAUUUGCCAAAUUUGAUGAAAUUCAUUUGAAUCCUCCUCCUAAAAAUCUGAGAAAAAUCAGGCAGCCCCUGGGUGCAUUGAGAGGUCACCUCACGAAAUCCCAACUCCAGGAAAAAAAUUCUUCAUGCCAAAUCAUUUCGUCGAACACGUACUGGACACUAUUGCUGUCAUGUUCAGUUAAGUUCAGAGAACAGUUUCAGUGCACUGUCGUUUUCUUCAGUGUUCGUUGUCCAUCUCGCCAGAGUCGCUGUGGCGCCUUGCUCCCCGUCCCCUCCCCCUUGUCCUCUGCACCGCACGAGCGCCUGGAAGGUUGCGGGCGUCGGCGACGAGCAGGAGGAGGUGCGUCGCCCCGUGACCGACGGCAGCGAUGGCUUUGCGGCCGCCAGAGAGAGGCGCAGCGCAGACGGCGCCGUCCAGCGCCGCCCAAGCCACUGGAGGCCGCCGCGUGGCCCUCCACUCCCCCGUGCGUGCUGCCACCCUCGUCGUGAACCGCUAGGCCCGGAGCGCGCUCUCUGCCGCCGCCGUGCCCGUACGGCCACCCCGUCGAGGACCGGCGCCAUUACGCCAAGACCGACCAAGAUUAGCGGGGGAACGGCACCAGUACACCUCCCUGAUGCUGCCUGGCCACUUAAGCUCCCUGCCAAGCCAUUGCCUCACCGUAAUUGCUCGCCGGAGCGAUCCCGUUCACGGCCACCCCCUCGAACCGCCUAUAAAUAGAGGCCCCGAGCUCCAACUCGAACCCACACCACCUCUGCACUCCACCUAGACCACGCCUAGCCACUGGAAGAGCCCCGAGGGAGCUUUCUUGCCCAGCUCCGGCCGCCGCGACCCGCCACGGGAUCCAGCUCGAUUCGCUCCCGUGCGUGCACCUCUAACCCCCAACUAUUGCCAGUAGCUCUCUUAUGCAUCCACUCUCCUGACCCGCGCUACAAUUCGGAGUUUGCAGCAACCACCGGAGUUCUCCACCAUCGCCCGAGCCGCCGUCCGCCGGAGAAAGUGUCGCCGUCGACGUGGUGCUCUCCGACGACCAAGUCCACCACCCACCGACGCGGAAGAACACGCUGAAACUCUUGGUACACUCCGAUCUCCCUGUCUCGCCGUGGUUCAACGCCGGCGACCACCGCAGUCUUCGGGCGCCGGCGAGGUUUUCAAAACUGACAUGUGGACCCCCCACGUCAGCCUCUCUUCUUUCUCUCCCUCGAAACGCUUUCUGUUGGCGCCUUCGGGCAGAAUACGCUUUCCCUUUGGGCUGACGUCUUUCCCUCCGAACCGUUUUCUGUUUUAGCAGUUAAGUCCCUGGAUCUUUUCUGUUUCAUCACAGAUUGGUCCCUGGACUAAAACCCUUAUAACUUUUUAACAAAAGAUGAUUUUUGAGUGAUUCUUUUUCUGUCAGUCUUGUAUUUUUGUCUAGUUUUUUAUAGUAUUUAUUUGGAAAAUGUUUGGGACAACUUUUAUGCACGCAUUGAUUUUCACGUUAGUAUACGUUUUCGCUAUACCGUAGGUUCCGGAAGAGGUGACGGAGCCGCGAACUUCGCCGAGCUAGACUCCGACUUCUCCGAACUAGGCAAGCAUGUUUGAACCUUUGAUAUGAUGGGUGUUUUGCAUGUUGCUUGAAUGGUUUGUGCAUGGCAUAUGAGCAUCGGUGAGUAUCUCGUUGCAUGUAAGGCAACUACCCGUGUGCUCCAAAGUUACGGUGAUCUCUGAUGAGAGAUUGCCUAGUCAUGUGGUGACAUGAAAGGCAGUAAGGUGGUAUUGUUGUAGCAUGCCAGCCUUAUGAUGUCCGAUAAACUCCGAUGUUAACGUGGACUGAGUCACGUUAUCAUUCUUCCCCUUUCCGUGCCGCCACAUGUUUUCUGCCAAGAAUACGGUUUAGUAAGUUGGUAACCUCUUUCCGUGUACACACCAAAUAGAGGGGCCGGGAUGAGGGUUCCAUGGCCCUGGAUUAAAGCCAGUCAUCCGGUCAGGGGGCAUGGGUGUUUCAGGUUGGGACCGAGAGGGGGGGGCACCCCCUUAGAGCGCGCGUAUAUAAAUUUGAUCCCAUGCUACGCGAGGUUGUAACCUCCCCGUCUCAAGGUUUUUCUUGAACGUUGCCGAGGGUGAUUCCUGGCUUCGGAAUGUUGAAUGGGUGUGUACUGGUUAGAUGUGUUUCUUCCAAAACACCGUAAACGGAACUAGUCCCCGUGACUACUGAAAUCCGUUGGCUGUGGUUAAAGUACAAACUCUGCAGAGUCAAAUCCUUCCGAGUCAUCGUAUCUAUGGUCAAGGAUCAUGGCCAGUAUACCCAUAUCUAUGUCAAUCCUCGUGGUAAAAUCCCCGGUGAACAGGCUUGAGUGGUAAACCCAGUUUAAUUGUUAUUCCUGUGGAUGGACUAACUCUUCUUACUUAUUUCGUACUUGAUGUGAUUAUAUUUUUGAGCUACUGAAUUAUUAAGUUAUGAUAUAAGCCCUUUAUGUGAUGUCGCUCAAACGUCCGACUGUGGCACUCUUGUUACUCUACCUUUGAUAUAAGCCCUUUAUGUGAUGUCGCUCAGACGUCCGACUGUGGCAUGCUUGUCAUUUACUUUCAAUAUAAGCCCUUUAUGUGAUGUCGCUCAGACAUCCGACUGUGGCAUGCACCGUCAUUUAUAUUAUGUUAUAAGCCCUUUAUGUGGUGUCGCCUUGACGCCCGACUGUGGCAUUGUUAUUUCCUUUGUUUUUUCCUCUCGAGGAGUCAUUCAGACACUCGUUUGGCACUCAGUAUUAGUUUGAGAUUUUGGGAGGACUACCGCCCGACUUCUCCUUGUUUUUCCCAUGCAUUAUUAUCUCGUUGUCUGAGUGCACUUGUUAAUCUGUUCCUAUGCAUCAUGUUUACAUUUUUUAUAUCUUAUGUCCGAACUGUCUUGCGAGUACUUUCAUAGUACUCACCUGGCUUGUUGAUUUGGCCAGAUGUUGACGAAGGCGAUCUCAUGGAUGAAGAGUUUGAUAGUGAGUCCGAUGCCUAGAGGAAUCCCAGUGAGUCCCGUGCGAUCCUGGAUUUUGGUCACUUGUAUCAUAUACGCUUCCGCCACCCACAAUAAAUAUCCUCGAGCCUCACUCUGAUGCUCGAAGAGCUGUUAGUUUUCAGGAGUCAUAUCUCCCACUUCGCUGUGAUAUAUCCACCACCGCUUUUGUCGUGAGUUAGUAGUUAUGCCACCCUAUCCGCCGUUAUGUUUUAUCGGCGCGCUUGUAAUAAAUUGUUGAGCAGUCUCCGCUCAACUUUGUAUUAUACUCAGUACUGCUGGUAUUUUUCUUCUGUGAUCAAGAUUUUGUCUACUAGUAAGAAGGGAUUCUUCUUUACUGGUCCGUAAAAGGGAUCGGUCUCUCAAUAAAUAUUUUUUGGAAAACCGGUCGUGACACCUAUGGGUUUGAGAACUAUGUAGACAUGACCGAGACACAUCUCCGUUCAAUAACCAAUAGCGGAAACUGAAUGCUCAUAUUGGCUCCUACAUAUUCUAGGAAGAUCUUUAUCGGUCAAACCGCAUAACAACAUGCGUCAUUCCCUUUGUCAUCGGUAUGUUACUUGCCCGAGAUUCGAUUGUCGGUAUCCUCAUACCUAGUUCAAUCUCGUUACCGGCAAGUCUCUUUACUCGUUUCGUAAUGCAUCAUCCCGCAACUAACUCAUUAGUCACAUUGCUUGCAAGGCUUAUAGUGAUGUGCAGUACCGAGAGGGCCAAGAGAUACCUCUCCGAUACAUGGAGUGACAAAUCCUAAUCUUGACCUAUGCCAACUCAACAAACACCUUUGGAGACACCUGUAGAGCAUCUUUAUAAUCACCCAGUUACGUUGUGACGUUUGAUAGCACACAAAGUGUUCCUCCGGUAUUCGGGAGUUGCAUAAUCUCAUAGUCAGAGGAAUAUGUAUAAGUCAUGAAGAAAGCAAUAGCAAUAAAACUAAACGAUCAUUAUGCUAAGCUAACAGAUGGGUCUUGUCCAUCACAUCAUUCUCUAAUGAUGUGAUCCCGUUCAUCAAAUGACAACACAUGUCUAUGGUUAGGAAACUUAACCAUCUUUGAUUAACGAGCUAGUCAAGUAGAGGCAUACUAGGGACACUCUGUUUGUCUAUAUAUUCACACAUGUACUAAGUUUCCGGUUAAUACAAUUCUAGAAUGAAUAAUAAACAUUUAUCAUGAUAUAAGGAAAUAUAAAUAACAACUUUAUUAUUGCCUCUAGGGCAUAUUUCCUUCAUCAGUGAUGUCUACUACGCAACUUUAUUCUUGUAGACUCGUGUUGGGCCUCCAAGCGCAGAAUUUUCUAGGACAGUAGCAGUUUUCCCUCAAGUGGAUGACCUAAGGUUUAUCAAUCCGUGGGAGGUGUAGGAUGAAGAUGGUCUCUCUCAAACAACCCUGCAAUCAAAUACAAGAAAUCUCUUGUGUCCCCAACACACCCAAUACAAUGGCAAAUUGUAUAAAUGCACUAGUUCGGCGAAGAGAUGGUGAUAAAAGUGUAAUAUGGAUGGUAAAAGUAUAUUUUUAUAAUCUGAAUAAAUAAAAACAGCAAGGUAGCAAAUAGUAAACGGGCACAAAAACGGUAUUGCAAUGCUUGAAAAUGAGGCCUAGGGUCCGUACUUUCGCUAGUGCAAUCUCCCAACAAUGCUAAUAUAAUUGGAUCAUAUAACCACCCCUCAAAGUGCGAUGAAGAAUCACUCCAAAGUUCCUAUCUAGCAGAGAACUUAAGAAUAAAUUGUUUGCAGGGUAUGAAACCACCUCAAAGCUAUUCUUUCCGUUCGAUCUAUUCAAGUGUUCGUACUAAAAUAACACAAAGUUAUUCUUUCCGUUUGAUCUACCCUAGAGUUCGUACUAAAAAAACACCAAAGAAAAUUCAUAUUCAUAAUACUCAAUCCAACACAAAGAACUUCAAAGAGUGCCCCAAGAUUUCUACCAGAGAAACAAAGACAAGAACAUGCAUCAACCCCUAUGCAUAGAUUACCCCAAUGUCACCUCGGGAAUCCGCGAGUUGAGUGCCAAAACAUAUAUCAAGUGAAUCAAUACGAUACCCCAUUGUCACCACGAGUAUUAAACUGCAAGACAUAUAUCAAGUGUUCUCAAAUCCAUAAAAGUAUUCAACCCGAUAACAACGAAAUCUCAAAGGGAAAACUCAAUUCAUCACAACAAGAUAGAGAGGGGAAAACACCAUAUGAUCCGACUAUAUUAACAAAGCCCGCGAUACAUCAAGAUCGUGACAUCUCAAGAAUACGAGAGAGAGAGAGAGAGAGAGAGAGAGAGAGAGAGAGAUUAAACACAUAGCUACUGGUACAAACCCUCAGCCCCGAGGGUGGACUACUCCCUCCUCAUCGUGGUGGCCGCCAUGAUGAUGAAGAUGGACACCGGUGAUGAUUCCCCCCUCCGGCAGGGUGCCGGAAAAGGGUCUAGAUUGGUUUUUGGUGGCUACAGAGCCUUGCGGCGGCGGAACUUCUGAUCUCGGUUAAUCCCGAAGGGUUUUGGAAUAUUUGUGAAUUUAUAGGGUAAAGAGGGGGUGCGGGAGGCCACUGAGGUGGGCACAACCCACCUGGGCGCGCUUGGGCCCCCAGGUGCGCCCUUGUNNNNNNNNNNNNNNNNNNNNNNNNNNNNNNNNNNNNNNNNNNNNNNNNNNNNNNNNNNNNNNNNNNNNNNNNNNNNNNNNNNNNNNNNNNNNNNNNNNNNNNNNNNNNNNNNNNNNNNNNNNNNNNNNNNNNNNNNNNNNNNNNNNNNNNNNNNNNNNNNNNNNNNNNNNNNNNNNNNNNNNNNNNNNNNNNNNNNNNNNNNNNNNNNNNNNNNNNNNNNNNNNNNNNNNNNNNNNNNNNNNNNNNNNNNNNNNNNNNNNNNNNNNNCAGGUGCUGCUCUGGCCCAUCUUGAGUGUUCUGGUCCAUAAAAAAUCUCCAACAAGUUUCGCAGUGUUUGGACUCCGUUUGAUAUUAAUUUCCUGCGAUGUAAAAAACAAGCAAAAAAACAGCAACUGGCACUAGGCACUGGGUCAAUAGGUUAGUCCCAAAAAAUGAUAUAAAGUUGCUAUUAAAUGAUUGUAAAACAUCCAAGAAUGAUAAAAUAACAGCAUGAAUACCUCAUAAAUUAUAGAUACGUUGGAGACGAAUCAGCAUCCCCAAGCUUAAUUCCUACUCGUCCUCGAGUAGGUAAAUGAUAAAAGAAAUAAUUUAUGAAGUGUGAAUGCUAGCAAAGUGGACAAGUUUGAUCAAUGACAAUUUCAAUCACUUUUCCUAGCAUCAUAACAGCAAUUCUUUCUUAUAAAACUUAUCAUGUUAUAGUAGCAACCAAUUCACAUGUUAAGGUUCAAACAAUGAACUCUCUUGAAACUCAACAACCUAUGUUCUCAGUCACCAAGCAAUUGUAAUUCAACUUAUUCAACAGAGUUUAAGUAAGAGCUCCACAUACUCAACCAUCUUAUAGUCUUCUAUGAUUGCUAACACUCACCGCAUACACAUGAGCAAAACGUUUCAACCAGACACAUAGAAAGAUACGGGCUUAUUGUUUUGCCUCCCAACAUAUUCACCUCAAGGGUGAUGUCAACAAUAAUAACUCAUGCUACCCAUAUUCAACUGGACAUAUGUGCCUAGAUGUUUCUUCACCACAUGAUGCUUGCCAAAAGAGAAAAAUAAAAAGGAAUAGAUAGAAAAACUUUGACUCUUUGCAUAAAAGUAAAUACUGAGAAGUAAAAGAUAGGCCCUUCACAGAGGGAAGCAGAGGUUGUCACGCGCUUAUUUGUUUGUAUGCUCAACUCCUUAGUGCAAAAUAAUGUCACGUUAUAUUGCCCCUUAUGAUAGCAACCUUUAUUAUACAGUCUGUCUCUUUUAUUCUUUGCCCCCUUUCCUUCCCCCUUGUGCCAUUAUAUGGCAGGGGGUGCACCAAAGGGAGGAGCCGUAGGGCUGCCGCCACACCUAUUGGGGCGCCCUAGGGGCUGCCUCCUCCCCUCCCACACCUAUAUAUAUAUAUAUAUAUGUGGGGAGGGGUGCCACACAAUACACAGCUUAUCCCACGCCGUGUGUUGGCACCCCUCCGCCUCUAGUUUACACCUCCACUCUAGAUCAUUGUAGUGCUUAGGCGAAGCUCUGCGGGAUUGAUUCACCACCACCGUCACCAUGCCGUUGUGCUGACGGAACUCAUUUACUACCUCGCCCCGCUUGCUGGAUCAAGAUAGCGAGGACGACACCGAGUUGAACGUAUGCAAAACGCGGAGGUGCCGUGCGUUCGAUACUUGAUCGGGCGGAUCGCGAAGGUGUAUGACUGCAUCAACCGCGUUGAAUAAAGCUUAUGGUUUACGAGGGUACGUAGACACACUCUCCCCCUCCUUGCUAUGCAUCUCCAUGGAUACUUCAUUGCGUGUGCGUAGAAUUUUGUUUUGUUUUCCAUGCUAUGAUUCCCAACAACAGGCUAGGGUUCGAUUGGCUCCUAAGCGCAAAUGGAAUGUUGCUUUCGCUACCUGUGCAGUUGCGCUAUGGCAUGCACGGAAUGAUAGGGUUUUCCAUGAUAAUUUCUGGACGGAGCCAUACGUCAGGUUCUCUGUCGCUGAUUUGCUACGGCUAUGGAGUUACAGAGCCCGCAGGCAGCAGGAUAGGAGUGAUCUACUGGUCUGGGUGCAUGAUCUCGUUGGCUAAUUUUUUUCUUGUGACAAACAAGUUGUUGUAAUUUCCUUCUUUGCUACAAAUCCUUUUAUGUCCUCUACCCUCCCUCCUUCUAGGCUGCUUGUGGCCCUGCACCUUGGUGCAAUUCACAAGUCUCAUGUAAUUGACUUCGGUCUCCAGGCUUUGCCUAUUUUGAAAUAUAUAAGGUAGAACUCAUUCUACCUUUUAUUUUCAAAAAAAAUACUCGUUGGUUGCACCAUAGAAAGAAGCCGACUCUCCUUCUCAAGCAGGACAUCAAGUAAGCGUUCGAUUCAGUGUGCUAUGACUACAUUCUCUACCUCCUUCAACUGAGGGGCUUCCCUCAAGAAUCCGUAAUUGGAUCAUUGCCCUCCUAUCCCCCACCAAGUCGUGUGUGCUUCUCAACUGGGUCUCGGGUGACCCAAUUAGGCGUGGGAGGGGUCUCAUGCAAGUAGACCUGCACUUCCCCCUACUUUUUGUCCUCGCGACUGAGCCACUUCUGAGCCUUCUCGCCUUGGCCUCCGACAAGGGCAUCCUCCAUCAUCUUCCCGGCAAGGAUGCCACCUUUCGCAUCUCCAUUUACGUCGGUGAUGCAGUUGUUUUUUUGGCUCCAAUUAAAGAGGAAAUUAACGUUCUCUCUUGCAUCCUAAAUGACUUUGGACGGGUCACGGGGCUCAAGAUGAACUUCCACAAAUCUCUUGUGGCUCAUAUCCAUUGCCAAGAAAUUAACCUCAGUGUCAUCCUUCUUAGCUUGCCAGCCAAGAGAACCACUUUCCUUGUGUCUUAGUGGCGCCUUAAAAGAAUACAUUUUUAGCUUCUUGAAGAUAAGGUCACCGGCAAGCUACCUCCAUGGGAAGGGAAUCACUUCAAUCUAGUCGGUCGGGUUGCUCUAUUCAAGGCGGUCCUUUUUUAAAAGGAGGUUAAACCCCCGGCCUCUGCAUCAUAGUGAUGCUCACGGUCAUUUUUAUUAAUUAUUAAACGAAGUACAUAACAAAAGCAACCACAUCCGAACCAUCACAAGAUAUGAAAUAAACACUAUGGCUAACUUGAUUUAUGCAACAACGCCUUCAAGAAAGGAUAAACGUCCUCGCACCAUCAUCGUCACGUCCGGCCGAGACGGCUUAGACAAGGAUUAUUCAUCCUGCUUUGCAAGACCAGCCAAUGAAAACCAGCAUCCUUACCUCCCUAGCGAUCUACUAUAUCACUACACUUGACAUUUCCGGCCGAGAUGCUUGAGUUCAUCGACAAGAUCCAUAGAGCUUUCCUAUGGACUAACAGUGAUAAAUUUCAUGGUGGCAAAUGCAAAAUUAAUUGGGAGGUGGUUUGUCGCCCUACCAUCCUUGGCGGCUUAGGGGUGCUCCAUUUCGGCAAGUUCUCCCAUGCACUUCGUCUUAGAUGGCCAUGGCUUGAAUGGUCCACCUUGGAGAGGGCCUGGAUUGGCAUUGGCAAUCCAUGUGACGACAAGAACAUGGACCUCUUUUAUGCUCCCACUUGUGUUCAUGUCGGCAAUGGCCGGAAAGCGAGCUUUUGGAAUUCCCCUCGGGCGGAUAGGUUGUGGCCGAAACACAUGGUGCCCUUAGUUUUUUUUCAUCUCCAAUAUGAGAAAUUGUUGUGUUCAGGAUCCACUGCACAACAACAUUUGGGUGGAUCAAAUUGACACUUCUGGAGUUCUGGUAGUAUUUCUUUACAACACCUACAUGAAUUCAUCUUGCCUUGGCACUUGACCUCCCAAUUUCUUUUGAACGACCAAUAGCUUGACACCAUUACCUAGAAGGUGUCUGCCUCUAGGUGCUACUCUGCUACUUCGGCUUACAAAGCUCAAUUCCUAGGGUUGGUGUCCACCGACAUGAAAAUGAUAACCUGGAAAUUUUGGGCACCCCCUAAGUGCAAGAUUUUUGCAUGGCUCAUCACCCAAAACAGGGUUUGAACGGUGGAUAGACUUGCCAAGCGUGGCUGGCCCAACUGCGAUCAAUGUCCCUGUGCAACCACGCCUGAAGACGGUAGCACAUUGGACCUUCCAAUGCCGCUAUUUCACCCGGAUUUGGAACAUGAUUAAGGAUUGACUUGGUCUACACCUUUGGAUACUUCCCUAUGGAAUGAUUUGAAUGAUGGCAUGUCUUGGUGGAAUCACCUCAUCCAUCAAGACAGCUCUCGACGCAAAAGCGAUGACCUCCCUUGCCAUGCUAGUAACUUGGGAGUUAUGGAACAAGCGUAACAUGAGGGUUUUCAACAACAAGUAGUAGUCGCCCUCCCAGAUCAUCUUCUCGUGCAUACGUAAGGAAAACUGUUUUGUCGGUUGCCGUGGGGGCUAAGCACGUGGGUUACAUGCCGGAAGAGUAGGCCUUUGUUUUCCCUUUGGUCGCCUUCGGGUGAUUGGUUUGUAAAACUACACUCUUCUUAACUAAUGAAUGUGGAAAAUCUUUUUCCACUUCUAAAAGAAAAAAUCUCCAGGUAAUCGGACCUGGAUGGCAAGCUCGGCGAAAAAUGCACGCUAUAGAGCAGCUCGAUCGCAAGGGUCUUCUGCGAGGCCGAACGACCACAUCCCUUCGUUGCAUCACCUGGCAUGAAUCCGAAGCACAUAUUUAUUAAGAGCAUCUCCAGUAGAAGAUGCUUGGAGAUGUUAAAAUUUACAUCUCCAAAAGUUCUUUCUGCAUCUCCAAAAAAGUGCCAACUCCAACAGAAGAUUUAUACUUGAGAUGUAAAACAAUAACUCCAAUAGAAGAUGCAAAUGGAGAUGUAAAACUAUACUUCAACUACUACUUCAUUUGAAACCUAUACUUCAACUACUACUUCAUUUGAAACCUAUACUUCAAAUAUAGCAAAUUCAACUACUACUUCAUUUCAAGCAUAAUUAAACAUAGUUCUAAUUAAUAAGAACAUAGAAAACUCAACUACUACUAGUUCAACUACUACUAGUUCGAGGUACUACAUUCAUCUGCUACUACUACUAGUUCGAACUUCUACUCCUUGAACUACACCAAAGAUAAAACUACUCCUCGUCAUUGGAGCUCUCGAACUGCUCUCAGAACUCAUCUUUGUCCGGGUCGCCACAGCCUUCGUCCUCCUCCUCCAAGUCGCCCCAGUCCUCCUCCGAGGACUCGACGGGGAUCACCAUCGAGGGGCCGGCCUCGUUCUCCUUCUUCUUCUUCUGCUCGGCCUCGCGCUUCCAGAAGAACUCUUGCUCGGCCUGCACAUACUCCGGAUGCUCAUGCACGAACCUCGCUAUCGCCGCCUCGUCACUAUCGCCGGGACUGGCGACAAUUGCGGGCCUCUUCUUCUUCGUCGUCUUGUUCGUCGUGAUCUCCUCCAUGCGAAUGCCCCCCGGCAUGAGCAACUCCGCAUCCGCAUGGGUCCCGAUCUUCGGGAAGUUGAGGUCCUUCUUCGGCCUCCCGGCACGCCACACCGCCACGCCGUAGGCACAUGCGGCCUCGUGGAUGGUGGGGUAUGUGCCUAGCCAAAAGCGGCGGCCGGCGUCGCUGAACUCCACCCCGAAGUUGCCGGAGGGCUUCGACCUCACGCCGAAGAACCCCGUCUUGCCCCUCGGGGUCUUCUUCGGCGGCAUGGUGACGGCGGGGCGGUGCAGCGCGGCAUGAGGCGGCGGGGGGGUGGGGCGGGGUUGUGAGGUGCGGCGGCGGUGCGGGGCGGGGCGGGGCGGUGCCGCGAUGGGGCAGGCCAAAUCGGCGGCAGGGAGAAAAGAAGGAAAAAUCCGCCGAUUCGCGGCGUCAGGCAGGCGACAGCGGCGGAGGAGCGUCAGAACCGACAGUGGGGGCUGUCGUGGAAUUUUCACGUCAGAUGUCCUAGUGUGAGGACUUAGUCGUGAGGCCAACGCAUCUUUGUAGUAGCUUAAGAGGGGUUGGGCGGAAUCGAGAGACGCAACACAAGACAAGGAUUUAGACAGCUUCGGGCCCCGGGAAACAUCAUCCGGUAACAACCCUACAUGCUGUUUGAGGCUAAGUUUCAUUAUGAUCACGAGGGAGUCGCCGGCUUGGCCGGCUCUUUGUGUCUAGCCCUAGAGAUUGUUUCUCGCCCCUUGUCCCUCUUUGGGGUGCCCUGCCCCUCCUUAUAUAAGUUAGAGGGGCGGUUUACAUGCGGAGUCCUAGUAGGACUAGGACUAGUCUAUCUUUUCUUACAAGUUGAAUACAAGUCCGGGUCUUGCUCCCUCAUAAAGGAAAUAUUCGUCAUCCCUUUCUCCUUAAGCCGGCCCACCAGAGUAUAAGCCAGCCUGCUGGGCCUUGGGCCUUGUCGUCCGUCUGAUCCGCCCGCCGGGUCUCCAGUGAGUCACAAUGUCCAGGCGGGUUACCUGUGAAUCGCCAUGUUCGAGCGGAUCACCAGUGAGUCGCCAAGCUCUAGCCAGGUCUCUGGUGAGUCGCCAAGUCUGGUCGAGUCAUACCGCGGGGUAUAUCCCCGACAUUAGCCCCCAGUUUAAUUUGGAUUUAUCCAUGUUGAACUGAUCCUGCAAAAUAACUCAAGAACAAAUUUAACAGGUUGUGCUCCGGGUUAAAUAUUCUUGUAAGCCGGCACGUGAUCAUCCUUAAGUCCUUGACAUUUUCUCCUGGAAUAUCCGGGUCAAUAGGCCAGCUUCAUAAUCCGUUUGCUGACAUUGGCUCUUGUAAAGAAAUAUUAUAAGAAAUAAUCCAUUUGAGUCAGCCUUCAAUGCUCUGAUUUGACAAAAAUAUUGGUCUUGAAAUAUUCAACUGAUAUUCAGCCGGCUUAAAGAUGUAGAUCUUGCCGAUUUAUGAUUGCCAAAAUUGCCGGGUUAUAAAUAAAUGAUGCCGGGUCAUGAUUGUUGCAGACACCGGGUUAAUCUGGUCUGCUCCAAACUGAGAAUUUGAAGAUUUUUUCUCCCUUAUAUGCAUAUCACAUGUAGCCCCCAAGUGUCGGGUUGUCAUGCUUGGAGCAACCUGGGACUUGUAAUUGCCUUAUGCUCAUGAAAACUUCAACCAGUGUAGCCCCCAAGGGCCGGGUCAUUAUGCAAUAAUGAGCAGGGACUUUGUAGAUAUAACCAUGUAAACUUGAACAGCAACGUGUAGCCCCCAAGGGCCGGGUCAGUAAGAUAAUACUGAGCUGGGACUUUGUAUAUAAUUUAUUGAUAAUAACAUCAUAUAAUAUAAUCUCCACCAUGGGGCUUGAACCCACGUCCACAAGGUUAAGAGCUUUGUACUCUACCAACUGAGUAGUGGACCGUUCAAUAUAAUGGAUUAAUGCUUGUGUACCUUGAAUGUUUGACAGGAGCAAUUGGUAGCCCCCAAGGGCCGGCUCAUUACAAUGUGAUGAGUCGGGUCUUCAAUAAGUUGAGAAAAAAAUGACUUUGCAUUAGCCCCCAAGUGCCAUGGUGCAUGCUGGCAAUGACAUGGGACUUGCCUAUUUGAUGUAACCUCAACUUGAAUAAUAUAGCCUCCAAGUACCGGGUCGUAAGCCUGCAGCGACUCGGGACUAUUCCCUCCAUUGUAAAAUAAAUCAUAUACCUUGAUAAAAUAAUAGCCAUUGCGCUGAAGCGACUUUAAAGACCUCCAUCAUAAUAUUGAUAAUCAUAAUAAAAAUCCAGCCAUGUUGGCUAUUCAAGAUUUGAAUAAUAUAAUCUUAUCGGUUGACAAGUAGAUCCGAAGUUCAAAUACUCGGCGGCUCUUGGUCGAUGGCGACUUAAUGCGCAUUCAUUGUAAGCCAGAAUUUCAUAACCCGGCGGCUUAUAGCCUUUGAGAAAAUCAAGAAUUGAUAACCCUUUUGAGACACCAAUUUCAAUCUUUGAUGAUGGGCUUGAACUUAAUUAUUUAUGUAAGUCAUAGCUCUGUAAAUCCUGCACAGAGCUUAAACAACAUAUGCCUUGGCGACGUAACGUCAAAAGCCAGGGCGGGUAACCAUCCAAAUGUAGUCUUAUCCUGCACACAAGUAGAUCACAAGAACCCUGUGAUAUUGAAUUUUCACUGCCGGUUUAUGUGACUUGUGCAGUAAGGUUGAUAACCCAAUCUUUAGAAAUCAAGACUUCCAAAUGUUUAUGAUUGUCAUAUGAUGGCGACUUAUCAUCCAAAGUCAAGCCGGGUUAAUCGAAGCCACAUAUAUGCUUCAGAUAUGAACAAAAAGGGUCUCAAGACAAAAUCAAAGAUCGCUUUCAAAAAACUUAAGCCAAAUAGAAAGAAAAAUUGAGGCUUCUGAUUCGAAUACGAUCAGUAAACCGUUCCAAAGGGGUUAAGCUAGGAUUCGAAUACGAUCAUGUAGCCCCCAGUGGCUUUGGCGUUGCGCCGAUCAAGAAGGUACCGACAGCUAUGUUCUCCUUGGUUCGAUUACAACCUAUGUUUGAACAGGAAGCCCCCUAAUGAUCUUGAGAGUUUUUUAACGACUCUGAUUCAAAUACGAUCAAAGUCGGUUCCCAAAAGGGGUUGAGCUAUGAUUCGAAUACGAUCAAGAAGCCCCCUAGUGAGCUCGGCAGUGUGCCGAUCAAGAGGGUACCGACAGCUAUGUUCUCUUUGGUUCGAAUACGACCUAUGUUUGAACAGGAAGCCCCCUAGUGAUCAUGAGAAUAUUUAACGACUCUGAUUCGAAUACGACCAGGGUCACAUCAAAAGGGUUAAGCUAAAUUCGAAUAUGAUCAGCUCCCAAUGGUCAUUAAAGCAGGGUACCUAUGUUUGGGUUGUGCUUUGUAACAGACUCCUUUUGGUCCCUUUAAUUUUUCCUGAGAACUCGAACUUUUGCGAGAGAUAAAUUCUUUUUGAACCGGAAAAACCGGAUAUUGAGAGUUUUAAAGUUUUGUGAUAAACAAAUUUACCUUGAACCGGAUUUUGAACCGGAUUUGAGAGCUUCAAAACUUUGUGGCAGAUAAAUUUCCCUUGAACCGGAUUUUAAACCAGAUAUUUAAGAGCUUCAGUGCUUUGUGGGAGAUGUCAAGUCUCUUGAGCCGGAUCUAAACCGGAAUCCUUCUUUUUAAGCCGGAAAUUUUCUGACGGCCUUUAAACUUUUCACCAAUAUGGCGGUAGCCUCCGGGACCGGGUUAUUUUUCCCUCCAAUGACCCAGAGUUCUUGAAUGCAUUGAAACCGACCAAUGCUGUCGAUUCAUAUCAUUGUAGCCCCCGAGUCUCAAGACGACUCGAGGAGUUGGCUUUGAGAUUCUCCAUAUUGACCAUAGCAUAAGGUGUAUAUCAUUGGUGUUGAUAGCGUGAUGUGAAUCCACAGAAGGUUGAAGUGACUGCGGCGGGUUAUAAAUGAUCCUGUAUGAGCCGUGCCAGCAACUCGGCCAAUGGUCCCUUCCAACUGGUUGUUUGAAGUUAACCAAACUGUAGUGGCGGCGACUUGUACACCUGCCCAUUUGAACCAUCCAGCGCAGACGGCGGCUGAUAAUACAUGAUAAUUUGCCUCCAAUUUUGUUGGAAGAAAAACCGGGCUUCCCAAGCAGUGACAGAUGAGUUGGUCACGACGUUGUAAACCGGUGUGGUCGGGCGAGUUAAUCGCCGGCGCGGUAAGCCGCGCGGAUGGGCGAAUCAACCACGUCGUGUUGAUGUAGUGGACAAUUGUCCUACACCAAAAACAUCGCAAGCCAGAGUAAUUGCUCUUUUUUAAAGAAAACAAUAUAUAAUAUAUAAAAAUUUACUGGAUUGAUUUCACCUGAUAUGUUAGGCCAGAAAAUAUCCACCAUGGAGUUGAUCAUCACCACGGUGAAGCUGAAAUCAAUCACGUCCGAGUCGGCCGCGGGAACAGAUAGACGGGCCGGCCGCGGCGUUGUAAGCCGGUGCGGUCGGGCGAGUCAAUCGCAGGAGCGAUAAGCCACGCGGACGCUGAGUUGGCCGCGGGGGCGGACGGGUAAGUUGUCCGUCUCAUUGCAAAGCGGCGCGUUGAUGUAGACCGGACCACAGGGGCGGUGGCUUGCGCCCACCUGUUGACCAGUAAGCGGUCGCAGAUGCCGUUGCAUGAUGAUGCUACCGCACACUCCAUGGAUACGGAAUUACACCACCUUUAUGAUGAAUCAUUGUCCUGCACAUAAAAGUGUACAUAGCAAAGCGAUUGUUUUUUGACAAAAAACAAUAUGCGCUUAAUAAAAUAACCUUAGACGGAUAUCACCUGAUUUGUUUGGAUGACCGAUGGAUAUCACCGGAGUCGGAGGCCACGGCGAGCGGGCUGAAGCCGAUUCAAAGCAGCUCGAGGCACGGCGGGUCUCAGCUCACGGCGGGUUGAGGUGUGGCGGUUCAAAGUCAUAGCGGGGGGACUCGCAGGCUCAGGCGAGGCCGUUUUGAAGAUGGUUGGCAGCGGCGCGGUGACUCGCCACGGUGCGCCGGAACAGCAGCAGCGCAGUGGGAGAAACAGCCGGUCUGUUGAUUUUGACCGUGAUGUGAAGCUCGCGGGGCGGCCACGAAGGCGCUGGCACGGAGUGGUUCCGAUGUACAAGACGCGCCACCACAAGGACGCACGUAGGAGAAGAUCAGAGAGGCAUCGAAGUUGGGUCCGCGGCGGCUCUGGAGAUGGCGAGUGUGCGGGAGGCAAGGCCGUGCUGGCCAGCAGAAAACGGCGAGGUGCCGGCGACUUAGCGUAAAGUGCGGAGGACUAGCGUAAAACCGCGGGUCAGAGGCGGCUCGGAGUUGAGUCCAUGUCCUGCCUCUGGUCGUUGUUGGUUUGACAAUUCCCUUUGAGUGCUCCUUUAAAAUUUCCUUCAUCCCACGUGGUGUCGUGCCAGGCAACAGCAUGGCCGGACUGAAAAUCCACUAGACUUUGAUUUUUAAUACUCCUAUAGAUCUUGGGGGCUGCAUGUGAGCUGACUAUUAAAACCUUCAAAUUCAUGCACGUACAGUGGCUGUACUAGUUGAUGCUACGUGCAGAAGGUAAGGUAAUCUAUCAGGCUUUGUUUUUUGCGUUGAUCAGCACUUGGACCCUUAAUCAACCGUUGGGUUGAUCCGGAGACUUCACAGGGCUGAAGCAAACUGUCUUGAUCGCCGUUGUACCAACAGAUGGCGCUCGUGACGCGUGUUUGGCUGUCUUUGAUCACCUCGGACUUGGACAGCUAUACAUGGAUCAGCAGAAGCGAUCUGGUGGAUCGGACACGGCGGCUAAAUUUGACAGCGGCACAGCAGAAAUUUGAGUCGGCCUCGGUGUACUGCUGCAGCAAAAACUAACCCGGACUCGACGGAUCAUCUAUUUGUUGCGGCGCUCACCAUGCCCCUAAUCUUUCUUGAAUUCAGACCUCGUACAAGUAUUAGAUCUGACUGCUCGCUUUGGAGACAAUGUAAAUCCUUCCGCGACGAUUCUUCUUCAUCCGAAGAAAUUGUCAACUUCUCAACCCCUGAAAAAGAUCCCUCCAAGAACUCAUCACCAUUGUGCGCAAGCCCCACGGUGGGCGCCAACUGUCCUGGAAUUGUCACGUCAGAUGUCCUAGUGUGAGGACUUAGUCGUGAGGCCAACGCAUCUUUGUAGUAGCUUGAGAGGGGUUGGGCGAAAUCGAGAGACGCAACACAAGACAAGGAUUUAGACAGCUUCGGGCCCCGGAAAACAUCAUCCGGUAACAACCCUACAUGUUGUUUGAGGCUAAGUCUCAUUAUGAUCACGAGGGAGUCGCCGGCUUGGCCGGCCCUUUGUGUCUAGCCCUAGAGAUUGUUUCUCGCCCCUUGUACCUCUUUGGGGUACCCUGCCCCUCCUUAUACAAGUUAGAGGGGCGGGUUACAUGCGGAGUCCUAGUAGGACUAGGACUAGUCUAUCUUUUCUUACAAGUUGAAUACAAGUCCGGGUCUUGCUCCCUCGUAAAUGAAAUAUUCGUCAUCCCUUUCUCCUUAAGCCGGCCCACCAGAGUAUAAGCCAGCCUGCUGGGCCUUGGGCCUUGUCGUCCGUCUGAUCCGCCCGCCGGGUCUCCAGUGAGUCACAAUGUCCAGGCGGGUUACCUAUGAAUCGUCAUGUUCGGGCGGAUCACCAAUGAGACGCCAAGCUCUAGCCAGGUCUCUGGUGAGUCGCCAAGUCUGGCCGGGUCAUACCGCGGGGUAUAUCCCCGACAGGGGCGAUGGCGGUGCGGCGGGAGGUGGGAGGAAGAAGGCAGGGAAAGUGAAAGAAAACGGCGGUUGGCAGCUGGCAAAUAUGGAGAUGUAUAUUUACACCGCAAAGUGCUGUAGUUAACAUCUUCGUGAGGCGGAGAUGUAAAUUUUUUUACAUCUACAUCAUCUGUUGGACUAGUAAUUUUUUCCUCCGGAGAUGUACUCUAAUGCAACGACAGGUUCGUGUGUCAUGUCACCACAUUUUUAUGUUGAACUGAACAAAAAUUUGCACGCGAGUCCCCACAUCUGUACUGAACUCACAGGCUUGCGGAACUCCAGCAUGCAUCCCUUUGAGUUGAGUUUUUUCAUGUACGAAUCUCGCAGCAAUUUUUACAUAAACUGUUUGCUUUUCCAAGGAAUCAGAAAUUCUAACGAAUCAAAGAGGCGCAAGCCUGAAGCAGUAAACGCAUUCUUUGGAAUAGUUGUCGAUCACAAACUCGGAUUUGAUUACCUACAUAAUCAAUUCGAUUGAACUUAAUUCAUGUGCCACGCGAUCGCUCGCUUGCGCUGUAAUAAUAUUCGCUGCGUUGUCUACGCACCACGUCGAUUUCUCUCCGUGCUAUGCCAGCUACUUCCUCCAUUCCUAAAUAUAAAAUUUUUUAGACAUUUCAAAUGGAUUACAACAUACGGAUGUAUGUUGACAUAUUUUAGAGUGUAGAUUCAUUCAUUUUGCUCCGUAUGUAGACACUUAUUGAAAUCUCUAGAAAGACUUGUAUUUAGAAACGGAGGGAGUACAUUCAGCACCGGACAGGACGGACCAAAGCAGUUCUCUCUAGCAAUUGCCUGGAGAAUCCAGGUACCAACAAGUUCCAGCUUCCCUAAGAAAACAAAAAAAACAAAAAAUAAUUCCAGCUUCCAAGCAGGGUCAGCAGUCCAUAACUGCCGCAUGCGCCACAUGACAGAAACCAGUACAGGCCACCUCACCUCAAGCGACAUACACAAUCCCGCUCCUAUAAGACUAGAGUACAUGAUCUCGAAAAAAAAAAGAGUACAUGACUACAUGGAGGAGAGCCACACAUGCUGCCAGACAGAAAAACAUCGACCAGACCGGGCACAUCAAUGGACGCACCGGUGGCGUCUGAGCAGGUUCGAGAAAUCCAGCCGCUGCACACAAGGACCAUCUCCUCAUCAGCUCCACGCUGCCAAACUCCUGCCUGCCAGCAGUAAUCAGCUUGAAGGAACGGAUGGGGGACGCAUCACCAGCUCAUGGAUACUCCUCCAUCUCUGCAAUUCAACCCAGUGCCAGCACCAGUACCCCCUGGUGAAAACAAAAAAAGGCUCUGCGCACCUGAAAUGCUGCACAACAUGUUUAUUACCCGUUAUUUGUCUUCCGCCGUCAAGACUGGACUGGCGCGCCACCGAAGCCACUGACAGGCGCAAUCUCGUUAAGGUGGAGGAAUCGUCUCCCAGCAACUUUGCUCUCUUCCCUGCCAGGAGCGUGCAUCUUCACUAUGUGGAGCAGUCGCUGCUCUUGACUUUUUAUUGAGGUCUUUGCACUGUCUGGUGCAUCAGAGCUGGCAUCUGGAUCCAGUGCAUUCGGUUCGCCUGGCUUUCCCAAUUCGGUAUCUCUACCAGAGUGCCGCUGAUGGUUCAUAUGGGGCCGCGUGGAACGCUUAUUGCGCUUGAUGCCUGUUUGGAUCACAUCCAUAGAUUUCAGUUUGGCCCCUUGAGGACUGCGAGUUGGCAGUCUCUUGGACCGUUGAAUCCCCUCUUCAUCUUCACUGCUCAAAGAAUACUCCGCUUGGUCUUCCGAUCGAAACUCUCCAUCGUACUCUGAAGUACUUGCCUUGGGUUGUUUUCGACUUCUAAGAUACUCCUCGUCAUAGACAGCUUCGCCCAUGAUAUCGUCAUCACUGUCAAAGUUCGUGUCGAUGUCCGAGACAUUCUCAACAAAGUCCGUUGUGUAUCUUUGAGAUCUUUUUCUUUGACGAGACCUAUAAUUUGAACAAUGCAUGUGCGUGUUUAUAUGCUGAUAUAAGCUUUGGCAGAGGAUCAGCUCAACAUCAAGAGUUAAAGGAGUUACCUACGAUCAAGGGUCUCAGCCUUUUCCUCACCACCACUCCCUUGGUAGCUAUAUGACUUCAGUGGAGAUUCUUCACGCCGUCCAUUACAUACAGGUGAGGGUCCAGCUAACGUACCAUUACUUGAUGCCUCUCGUGUUGGGACAAGUACUCCUCUGUUGGUAGUGGCAACGACCUGAACCGGGUUCUCACUUUUCCUGUCAAUAUAAGAGUACAGAAACUUGUGUCAUGAGUUUCGUUGUUUAUAAAAAAUCCUUUAAUGGAACUAUGGAGCGUAGAUGAUUCACCUACUUUAUUGCUUUUAGGGCCUCAUUUAUUGAACGGUCAUAAUCAUCUGCAUGGUAAGGAAAGAGUUUCUCGUUAGGAGAACAGUAAAUCUGUAUAUACCUUUGAUCUUGUUCCAAUGGGAACUAUGAAUACCCAAUGCAAAAAAUGGCAUGGAAAUUUUAUUUAGUCAAAAAGAUUUUUAUGUACAAUUGCAGUGGUAUCAUAACUUCAGUAGAGGGGUUUAUACAAGUUACUGGGAAUAGCUUGCUGACAUUUAUUAUUCAUCAAGUGCUGAGACAUUACAGAUACCUUUCUUAAAGCAUAUCAGUAAGAACAGCUAGUCAGCUACAGAAAGUGCAUCCCAACUUAACUAUUCUUCUGCGCAUAAUGAACUAGCGAGACAACAGAUUUACAACUAUGUAACUAAGCUUAGCAAGUUCAGACAUUAUUGACAUGACACUUAUGUGCACAGUAUUGCACAUAUGAAGGUGCGGAUGAAAGCCUUUAUAGAAGCUAGCCCUAAUUCAGGCCGCGCUCAACCAAAAUAAAGAUAAGAAUCCUAUUGCUAGGAAGUUGGCAAUUAGUUUCUGUUUGAUAGGCUACGAUUAGUUUAUGGUUGUUAAGGUACUCUACCCAUCCAAUGUACUGCCACAUGCCAUUUGAAGAUAGGCAAGAAUCAAUAAACAAAAGAAGGUCAUUCUCAUCCCUGAUCUCUUCUCUACCAAAGAAAGCUGUGCAGCCCUUCCAUCUUCUCGAUCAUUACGGUGAUGCUAAAGCAUGAAAUGCCAAUGAAACAUCUAAUGUGAAGGGUUGGCUAAAUGAACAAGAAACUAUAACAGCCGGUAAACACGUAAUGGAGGAAAUGCUACCAUAUUAGGACAACUAAUUAAUAGCAGUGUUAACUUUAGUCUUAAGCUUACCGAAAGUAUAGGUGACACGCUUUCUUUCACGAUGGGAGCGGCCAGAGGUGAAUCUAUCAAAGGUCAAGUAGCUAUUAAGGAGAAGGGCUUCUCUUUGUUGCUUUUUUAGCAGCUUCUCCUUCUUCUGCAAGAGGAUUUCUCACACGUUAAAUAGGCAGUUAUUCUACUCUAGGCAGAUAAUUUGAACUCCUUUAGAGGAGCAGUUGAAUACCUUGUGAGUCUUUUCCAUCUCUGGGAGAUAAUUGAGCUUCAACUUCUUUCCAAGUGAGACCUCUGUCCUGUUACUACUUGAAAAGAGUUUUUCCUACGUAUAAGAUUGACAGAAAAUAACUAAUAUCAGUGAACUUCCAUAGAAUUUUCGUAAGAGUAAGAGAUCUAACACUACUUCACAAAAUCUUUUAUGCCAUUUGAUGCCAAAAGUUCACAUUUUUAUUUGGGUAAGCUCUUCCGGUGCGUCUCUCACUAAAGUCAGUAACCUUUGAUGUACUUGGGGACCUUAGUUAUCUCUGCCCACAGCAUUAGAUGGUUGCAGAUGUCGGAAUAUUACAUAGGGCAUUGUAAGGUGGACACCUGACAGAGCACACUUUUGCACAUGCUCGUAUCCUCCCUCCCUCUCAGUUAUGUUGCACAACAUGCACCAACAAAUAGUUAAAUACUGGAGUACAUGUUAAUGUUAUCUAAAUUGGUUCUGGAAGGCCCUUGAUCCAUUCUGUCAUUAAUUUAAUCUUGUCGCGAACAUGUCACACAAGAAUCAAAACCAGCAAUAUCUAAGAAAAGCAAGCCCAAGUGUGAAUAGUUGCCACCAAGCUACUAAUGAUACACAAGCACAGAGAUUGACCAAUUAAUUGAUCCUGUUUCCAUGCAUGCUCAAUAUGCUUUUCAGAGAAAAUCAUGCCAGUACCAUGCAUCAGUAGCAACAGAAGAUGUCAAAUGAUGCUCACAGAAAGCGCAUUUGCCUUAUGGGUGCUACUGUGUGCGUGUAAGUGUGUCUGAUUCAACUCCAUUCAGAGGAACAAUUCCAGGACUCCAUUCAGUAACAGGGGACCUAAAAAACGCAUAUGAUUAACUCGAAAGUUUAAACUUACUGCUGCUGCUUCAAAUUCAACAAAGUUUGUCGCGACAGUCUCCCACUGAUAGGAUACAACUGGAACACCUAAGAACCCCUUUCGUUUAGAUUUUCUUGUUUGCUCCUUCACAUACUCCACUUGUCUAAUUUCACGAUAUAAUCGAUGCCCGAGAAUCGGAUCUUCAUCAUACCUAUAGUGCAUUAGUUGAUUAGAAUUGACCUUGGCCACAACAAGGUGCUUAAGAUUCAUUUCAGAAUUAAAAGUUGUCUUUUACCCACCAGUAUGAGAUUCCAUGGGAAUCUCCCCCAAUUCGUUCUUUGCAGAAAUCACGGAGCUGAUAACCCUUUUUUAGACAACUAUCUACGAAGAUCCGAACAUCCUCUUGCUGCAAAAUAACUGGAUCCUAUCAGUUAAUAUGUCAACAAUUAUUUAUCAAUCUUGAAGCACUCAUGACCAGAAAACUUAAGGAUGACAUUUGCAGCUAGUUGUAGACAUCUCUUAACAAUUACAAACAUGAAGAUAUUGGGAGCAUUUACAUGCUCACAGAGGUGUUGUACACACAUGGGAGAUACAACAAAACACUUCCUGGGCCUUGCUAGGAACCACAUAUUUCAUUCACACAGGAUUACAUAAAAAAUAUGUCAUUAAAUCCAUUACCACUCACAGUUUAACAUGUGGAGAUGAAAUAUGUCCAGAAAGAGAUGUUUAAAAUAGCAGGCAAUUGAUGCCACUGUUCUAAACAGCGGUUAGUGAACAUUCAGAGAAUCACUAAUCGCUUAUGCAGAUUAGCAGACUCGAUAUGCAAUUGAGUAAUGAAUACUAAUCACUGAUCAUAUGUUUAGAUAACUGUAAGUUGCAUGCCCAGACCUAUCACUAGGCUGCAAACAUAUGCAUUAUUAAAUUUGACUUUUGCAAGUACAUUAGGCAGCUUUUAAUAACAUAUACAAGCAUUCCUAGGUAACUUGACCACAGAUAUUACUGACUAUUUAGCAGGAGGCCAACUACAAGUAACCUUUCAUAGUUUAAAUGCAGACGAAGUACCAACAUUCGUAUGUUAACAUUAGCUGCUAGAUAAACAACCUAGAAUGUGGGUUUUGUUUCAUAUGAUAACAUAACACUGUGAGGUCACCACUAUCACUGCAAAUGUUCCACACGAAAAUUAGGGGCACACACCUCACAACGUAUGUCACAUAUUGCUUUCAGGAUCAUUAAUCGAGUCGCUGGCUCAAGUUCCUUGUACGUUUCAAUUUCCGCUCUGAGAAACGAAUAACAGUAAGCCAUCCAAUAUUCAAUUGUAGCAAGGGAUUCAGGUCAGGAAUUACUUGCUUAAAGAACUCACCCAUGUGAGGCAACGAUUGGUAGAUUGCCUUCUGCAACCUGAAGAUCAGACCUUUUAUUUAGCUCAUUAAGCAAACACAGUACUACCCCUAGUACAAAAUUAUUCUUGACAAUGAAAAAUCGCAUACCAGAUGCCACCAGUCCUUCAAUUUUCUACAUAACACUGUCACCCAUUUUCCGUCUGCCAUGGACAUUCGAGCUACAGGAGGAAUCGACUGCAAAAUGCAAAUAAGGAGCAUCAAGAAGCUAUGUAUAAUAUUUGACAAGCUUAUCAAUUAUCAUUUGAAUACUGGUUCUAAGUAAGAGAAUGUGUGAUGUUGUUGCAACAUUCCCAACAUCAUGCUCACCCUUAAUAGCGGCACAUGCAAGUAUUCCAACGUGCCAUUAGGCACUAGGAUGGCGUCCUCCAGCUCCUCCGCCGUGAACUCCACCGCGAUGUUCAGCAAUGGCCGGAACACCUGCAGCUCCGGAGCAGAGCAACCACGCCGAAGGUCAAACUCCAAAUGCUAAACCCUAAACCCUAGAGGAGAAGGCCUAGGCAGCGGAAUACGAUCGGGAGCGCUCACCUGGAGGAAGUUGAGGACGGAGGCGAGCUCCCACAUGCACCGCAGCCUCCACCGCGGCAGCUCGCCGGGGUCCGCGGGCUCCGCGACCAGCGGCGUCACCACGCGGCAUUGCGGCGCCUCCGGCUCCGCCUCCUCGCGCUCCUCCUCCGCGAUCUUCCUCGGGCGGCCCGGGCCCGGCCGCCGCGGCGGGGGCGCGGGCGGCGCGAGGGGGCGGCUGCACGCGCGCGGCGGGCGCGUCCUCCUCGCCGGCGGCGCCGCGGCCUCCGCCUCCGCGGGCGGGGGUUCGUGCGGGGGAUCCUGCUCCGGCGGCGAGGAGGCGGCCAUCUCCGGCGAGAUUUUCGCGGCGGAGCGUCGGAUCGGCGGCGAGGGGCAGGGUCGGGAGGGGAGGGGGCAGGGCCGGUCACGGGCUCACGGGGAAAAGGGGAGGAGUGAGGGGGCAGAAAGGGNNNNNNNNNNNNNNNNNNNNNNNNNNNNNNNNNNNNNNNNNNNNNNNNNNNNNNNNNNNNNNNNNNNNNNNNNNNNNNNNNNNNNNNNNNNNNNNNNNNNNNNNNNNNNNNNNNNNNNNNNNNNNNNNNNNNNNNNNNNNNNNNNNNNNNNNNNNNNNNNNNNNNNNNNNNNNNNNNNNNNNNNNNNNNNNNNNNNNNNNNNNNNNNNNNNNNNNNNNNNNNNNNNNNNNNNNNNNNNNNNNNNNNNNNNNNNNNNNNNNNNNNNNNNNNNNNNNNNNNNNNNNNNNNNNNNNNNNNNNNNNNNNNNNNNNNNNNNNNNNNNNNNNNNNNNCCGGACCGGGUCAUCAUGGCUCAAUCAUCACGCGGUGACAUAGAUAUGGUGAUCCCAUAAACCAAGUCUAGUGCUACUGCUGCUGCCCAGGGAACAAGCCACAAAUCUUCAAAACCUGGAAAGACAAAUGAACAUGUCAUUAAGUUUACGCUUUGAUUCGAAAAGCAGAGAAAAAAAGCCCAAAAUGAUAGUAAACUGUAAAUCCAAGCCGUGUUGGAGUCCGUCCAGCCGACCCAAAUGGACAAAAGGCAGGCAAGAUUCAUGUUCGAAUGAGUCGCCGCGUUGGAGUUGGUCGUAGGAACGAUUGUCAGCUAUAGAGAUCACUAAAAUACAUGAGGAACAGUCUUGAAUCUCUGUGGGAUGGGCGGCGGCGGUACCAGGCGCGUCGUGUCCUCCUUGGAGGCGCCGCCUGGGGAAGUUUGGUGCUUUGGUGUGUGCAGCAGUUGCAGGUGGCGUCUCUUAUGUGCAGGUUUCAGAUCCAGCGACAAGUAGCUUUGCGGUGGCAUUUAGCAAUGCCCUCGAGCCUUGGCGGAAGGGGAUUGGGUUCCCCUUCCCCUGUGACCGCAUCGCUGCAAGUGCCAAGGUUCCUCUUCAACUCGUUCGUCUGUACCUCGGUCCUAAUUUCGCCAUGUGGCUUGGCAGCUCCUUUCUUUCGACGACUCUCCCGGCGGCUUACCCUCUUUCAUCGACAUGUGCCUUGGCAGCUCCUUCCUUUCGGCGACUCUCCCGGUGGCUUACGCUCUCAGUGUAUGCAGUGUAGCUUGUUGUGUGUGUGUGUGUGUGUCGGCAAACAAGCAAACAAGCACACACGAGAAUAUUCACCCCACGCUAUUGCUCCCCGGCAACGGCGCCAGAAAAAGGUCUUGAUAACCCAAAAGUAUAAGGAAUCGUUUGUAGCCUUCUUGGAUAAAUAAGAGUGUCGAACCCAACGAGGAGCUAAAGGCAGACAAAUAUUCCCUCAAGUUCUAUCGACCACCGAUACAACUCUACGUACACUUGACGUUUGCUUUACCUAAAACAAGUAUGAAACUAUUUUGCAAGAAUAAAACUAUGAGUACUUUGCGAGAAUAAAAUUACGAAUAAAUUGCAAGGUAAUAAAAGUGGAUAGCUUUUGUCAACAAGAAAGUCAUUUGUCCUAGGCAAUCGAUAACAAGUACCGGUAAUCAUUCUUGCAAUUUUAUAUGAGGAAGAGGCAUGAGCUAACAUACUUUCUCUACUUGGAUCAUAUGCACUUAUGAUUGGACCCCUAGCAAGCAUCCGCAACUACUAAAGAUCAUUAAGGUCACGAAACCCAACCAUAGCAUUAAGUAUCAAGUCCUCUUUACUCCCAUACGCCAUAACCCACUUAUCUGCGUUUAGGCUGCUGUCACCCCCGCAACACCGACAAUAAGCAAACCAUGAACAUAUUGCAACACCCUACAGCGAGGACCCCUCACUUUUGCGCGAGAACGGAGGGCACCGUAGGACAGCAUCAUAAAUAAAAUAUACAAUCAUACCAACCAAGAUCACGAUUAACCCACAGAACAAAACGGAUCUACUCAAACAUCAUAAGAUAACCAUAGAUCAUUGCGAAAUAAUAUAUGGAGUUGAGCACCAUGUUUAAAUAGAGAUUACAGCAGGGGGAAGGGGUGUUACACCGCUGCAUAGAGGGUGAGAAAGUUGGUGUUGACGGAUGUAGAUUGCCGUCACGAUCCUAGCCCCGGCGGCACUCCGGCGCCACCGGGAGAGGGGGGGAGAGAGCCCCCCUCCUUCUUCUUCUUCCUUGGCCUCCCCCUAGAUGGGAGGAGAGUUCCCCCUCUGGUCCAUGGUCUCCAUGGUGGCGGAGGGGCAGGAGCCCCUCCGAGAUUGGAUCUCCCUCUCUGUUCCCCUCUGUUUUGCGUUCUCAGAUCUGGUCGAAAACCGUUUCUUAUAUUCCGGGAGAUCCGUAACUCCGACUGCGCUGAGAUUUUAAGACGAUUUUUUCCAGAUAUAAGCUUCCUUGCACCCGAAGUAGAGCGCCAACCGACGUACGAGGUGAGCACAACCCACCACCGCGAGCCAGGCUUCUCUGGCGCGCCGUGGUGUCUUCUGGGCUGUGUGGGCCUCCGUUUGCGGUGAUUCCAACUCCAAAAAUCACAUAUAUUCCAAAAUAAUUCUCCAUAAAAUUUUAUUGCAUUUGGACUUCGUUUGAUAUGGAUUUUCCGCGAUACAAAAAACAUGCAAAAAACAGAAAUUUGCACUGGGCACUGGAUCAACAGGUUAGUCCAAAUAAAUCGUAUAAAAUGUUGCCAAAAGUAUGUAAAAGUUGUAUAAUAUUGGCAUGAAACAAUCAAAAAUUAUAGAUACGACGGAGACGUAUCAUGCUGGCUACAGUUUUUAGUUGGGUCAUCAUCAUUAUGCAUAAAACUGGUUCCUUUGUUUCGUCCUGAAUAAUAAGACAUCAUUGAUCGCACCAGCAUUUUGUUUCCUCUGAGCUUAGAAGCUGCACAGAAAGCUGAAGCAGCUCAGAAGCAUAAGAUUUUUCAUCGAGGACUACACAUGUGUCAUGUGUGAUCAGCAAGUUUUGGAGACACGAGAUCACUUGGUCCUUCAUCGUCCCUUCGCCAAACUAUGUUGGCAAUACAUCUGCCCCAGUUGGUGUCCCCUUCGCCAAACUAUGUUGGCAAUGCAUCUGCCCCAGUUGGUGUCCCCUUCUCCAAACUAUGUUGGCAAUACAUCUACCCUAGUUGGUGUCCCCUGUCUGCAGGUAUUCAAGAUCAGCUCAGUCAGUUAGUUCGCCUGCUCAAUCUUCCAUUUGCAAUGGAUGUCAUCAUACUGAUUGCUUGGGCCAUUUGGAACACGAGGAAUGCAUAUGUUUCCAGAAGGGGGUUAUCCCCAGUCUCUUUGCCUGCAGACGUAGGUUCAGGGAGGAGCUUCAGUGGUUACUUCUAAGAGCAAAGAGAAAAUCUUAUGCUACUCUGCCAGAUUGGGUUCAGACUUUCAGAUAAGCAGAGCAGAGCAGGGCUUUCACAGAUUCCAUAUCGCGGAGAUCAGCACUGUGGAAUGAACUUUUGCAAAGAUGAGAGCCGUCCCAAAGAUGACAAACCCUGCAACAACUGACUAUUAUUCGAUUAUUAUUCAUUCCAAUGCGGACAUCCGUUCUUAAUCUGAAAUGGUAGAACUGUCCGACCCAAACACAUUUAAUCAGUUCCCUAGGAGGGGGUUGGCAAGCAAACGCAUUUUGCUGAUAGUUUUAGUCGCGACGUGAGAUCAAACGGUGACAUUUUAGAAGAAACAUGCCUUUCUCUGAAGAAACCAUCAUAUUGUUCUGAAGAAAAUGUCCAGCAAAUCUAAAGAAACAAUCAGCAAAAGCGCUCACAAAUAUCAUCCAUGCCAUGGAACGCUUGCAAAUAUCAUCCCUCCUAUCAAACGUUCGCCAGUUAUUGCGGUCCUUAAUCAUUUUAAAUUUUAACACAGACACCCGAACUAUAUCCAUACAAUCAAAAUCCCUCAAUCUUGAAGGUCGAAGCAGAGGGAUCCGAGCGUGACGUCUACCACGUCGAUACUACAGCUCGGCCCCUCCUCCCUUUCAAACCAGCCCUCCUUCCCACUCUGAUCUCAACUCCAACGUACGAGCCGUUUCUUCUGGGUGUGUCUGUUUGGGUUUAAACGUACAAAUCCGACGGUCCAACGCAGCGAUCCAUCCCAUUUUCUUGUUUGCUUUGUGUCCAUUCGAACCCAUUUUUGUCCCAAAUUUGCUUACGGUUUGCGUCCAAAAAUACAAACACGCCUGCCCGCGCCUCCGCCCAUGCGCAAGCGUGGGCGGCGCGGUGCGGGCGCCGGUUAGGAGCAGCGGGCGCUCAGGGCAGCGUGGGCGGGUCAAUGGGGGCGGCAAGGCGCAGGCGCGAGACAGGAGCAACGCGGCCUCAGCCCACGCUCGCCAUAGCGGGGGGUCUGCUGCGUCGCCGACCACGCCGGGGCAUCUCAGGCGGUUGUACAGGGAGCGCCAAGUUGGGCUGCUGCUGCUGCGGAUGUGCAUCUCACCAAUGGAGCAGCCCCCACUCGGUGUUCGAAGAAAUGCCAAAUGGAGAAGCGCUGUUGGGUAGAUAUGCUCUGUCCGGGCGCGUUCGUUUGUCCGUUGUGCGUUUUUUCUAACCUACACGGACAAGCGGUCAUGCAUCGGAGCUGGCCUCCCUCGACAAGUCCCUCGGAGCAACUCCAACGCAUCGACCCAAACUGACGCAUAUUUUGUCCGUUUUUUAUCCGUUUUGGCCGGCUGCCCGCUCGUCGUCCGCCCGUGUUCGGACCAGUGCACCCAACCAGCCAACCCAUUUCUCGUCCGCAUAGAACACAAUUUGAACUUAAAAAAGCCCGCGGCCAAAGACCAUGCCAGCAGCCAUGCCAUCAUCCACAGUUCAUGUCGCCGGCCAUGUCAGUGGACGACAUACAUGUCAGCCUCCAAAAAGAAGCAUGCGGUUCAUGCUAGCGCACUUGCCAGUGGCCGCCACACAUGCCAGCACACAAAAAGGGCGGGAGUUCAACCAUACCAUCACGGUCGUGGUCAUGCCGGCACACUUGCCAGCAUACAAAAAAAGAUGGCGCUCUCCGCCAUAGAUCACUCGUCAUCAAGUUUGAGCAUGUCGGUCUGCAUCUUCUUGAACCAAGGCCUCUUCCUCGGGGACACCGUGCUCAAGUCCACCUUCAUGAUAUCCACCCCCUCAUCAUGCAAGAGAGUGUCACUUCUUUUGCUUUGGUCUUGGCUUUGCUAGCCUCGAUCUCGAGCAUCUUUGUUUGCUUCUCCGCCUCCAUCUCGAGCUUCUACCUUUGUAUCUCCAUGAAGGCCUUCAUUUGCUCUUUUUUGUCUUGCCGACGCUUCUCCUCCCUUGUAUCCUUGUCAGUCAUCAUGUCUUGCAAAGUUUCUUGCAAGGCAAUCAACGCCGCAUCACGCUUUUCCUCUUUCUUGGAGUUGUUCUUUCCCCGCAGUCGCGACUUCUCUCCCUCACCAUGCUCCUCGAUGGCUUUCAGCCCUCCACGUGCUUUGAGGGCGGCAUAUUGCUCCUUGAACUUCUUGCCCCCUUUUAUGACCAUGCAACAAUAGGUGAGGUUGAACGACGUGUUCCCAUGUUGGGCCGAAUGCUAUUAAAGCUUGGAAUACCUACAAAUGAAGAGCAUGCAAGCAUAUGAAGCAAAAUGGACAUGCAAUCAUGAAACAACGGAAAUGAAGAUGGAGGAAUGUAUACCAUGUCUUUGAUGCCGAGGCCACCCACGAGAUGACCUGCACAAUACUUGUUGCACUCUUGUUGUAUCACCCUCCAACGCUUCGAGAGGUACACCCACCCAUGCUUUGUCUCCAUCUUGUAUGACACGGACUUCUUGCAUUCAUGAUUCGCGAUGAACUCUUAACCAAAAGGUUGAUGCCUUUUGCUCGGCGCGGAUCUUGGGCUCCUGUCCAAUGUCCCUUCAACAUUCACAAAGGAGUUUGUCCUCAUCUUUGUGUAUGCCUUCAUCUGAAUGCUUUGGUGCUUCUUGUUUGCAUUGGCUUGGGUGGCGAGGUCGUUGUCAAAAGACAAAGGCUCCCCUUCGAUGGCCACUUCAUCAUCUUCUUCUAGGUCGUAGUCUUCCGGGAACUCGUGGUUUUGCAGGAAAGUGUUGCCCAUGCCAUCUUGGCCUUGCGUGAAGGGGUCGGUCGUGCCUCCAUGGCCUUGAGCAAAGGUGUCGGCCGUGCCCUCGUGGCCGGGCCAUGAAGGGCCCUUGGCCAUCUUGGCUUUGGGUCUCGUCGAGAUGGAAGGCCGCGCCACCCACACCGGCUUCGAAGAUGAUAUUCUCCAUGAAGAAACGGUUGGCCGUCUUGUCGUCCAUGACCGGCAUUGUGUCGGAUUGGUUGCGGGCAUCGGGGAUCUACCACGGGCAUUUGCUCUGGCCCCAAGUGGACGAUCCACCGGCCACAGGUGUGGCAUUGAGGUCGAUGGCCAUGGACGCAGGUGUGGCCGGCGCGACCACGCUCACCUCCGGCGAACCGGAGCCCGGAGAGGUGGAGAAACGGGAGGCUUGCGGGUGGGGAUGGAAGCCGGGCGUCUGCGGCGUGGUGGACGUGUGUGGCGACUUUGACACUGGCGGAUGAAUGGCUGACGAGCCCGUGCUAGCCGCGGCCACGGUGGUAGCGGCGAGCCUGUGCUGGCCUGGGUUUAACCCUAGGUAGAGUAGGGCCUCCCUCGUGGCCGCCAAGACGAGGAGGUUAUUCUCCGCGAUGGUGGCCUCUUGUUGUGCAGACGCGGCUUCGAGCUUGACGGCCUACACCUUCCUCUUGGCCGACUACAUAGCCCGCUGCGCGUUCGUCAGCUCCUUCUUCUUGGUCGGUGCCGCGGGGCUUGCCUUUGGCAGAGGUGAGGCCGGCGGCGGCGGCGAGGAUCUGCGCGUCAUCCAUGGCGAGCAGGAAAAUUGGGGUCGUUGUGCCACAUGAAGGAAAUAUGCCCUAGAGGCAAUAAUAAAGUUGUUAUUUGUUUUCCUUAUAUCAUAAAUGUUUAUUAUUCAUGCUAGAAUUGUAUUAACCGAAAACUUAGUACAUGUGUGAAUACAUAGACAAACAGAGUGUCACUAGUAUGCCUCUACUUGACUAGCUCGCUGAAUCAAAGAUGGUUAAGUUUCCUAGCCAUAGACAUGAGUUGUCAUUUGAUUAACGGGAUCACAUCAUUAGAGAAUGAUGUGAUUGACUUGACCCAUUCCGUUAGCUUAGCAUUUGAUCGUUUAGUAUAUUGCUAUUGCUUUCUUCAUGACUUAUAUAUGUUCCUAUGACUAUGAGAUUAUGCAACUCCCGAAUACCGGAGGAACACUUUGUAUGCUACCAAACAUCACAACGUAACUGGGUGAUUAUAAAGGUGCUCUACAGGUGUCUCCGAUGGUACUUGUUGAGUUGGCAUAGAUCAAGAUUAGGAUUUGUCACUCCGAUUGUCGGAGAGGUAUCUCUGGGCCCUCUCGGUAAUGCACAUCACUAUAAGCCUUGCAAGCAAUGAAACUAAUGAGUUAGUUGCGGGAUGAUGCAUUACGGAACGAGUAAAGAGACUUGCCAGUAACGAGAUUGAACUAGGUAUUGAGAUACCGACGAUCAAAUCUCGGGCAAGUAACAUACCGAUGACAAAGGGAACAACGUAUGUUGUUAUGCGGUUUGACCGAUAAAGACCUUCAUAGAAUAUGUAGGAGCCAAUAUGAGCAUCCAGGUUCCGCUAUUGGUUAUUGACCGGAGAUGAGUCUCGGUCAUGUCUACAUAGUUCUCAAACCCGUAGGGUCCGCACGCUUAACGUUCGGUGACGAUCGGUAUUAUGAGUUUAUGUGUUUUGAUGUACCAAAGGUAGUUCAGAGUCUCGGAUAUGAUCACGGACAUGACGAGGAGUCUCGAAAUGGUCGAGACAUAAAGAUCGAUAUAUUGGAAGCCUAUAUUUGGACAUCGAAAUAGUUCCGAGUGAAAUUGGGAUUUUACCGAGUACUGGGAGGUUACCGGAACCCCCCGGUAAGUGUAUGGGCCUUAUUGGGCCAUAGUGGAGAGAGAGAGAGGAGACCAGGGGAGGCCGCUGAUACGUCUAUUUUGCAUCAUGCUUUUAUAUCGAUAUUUAUUGCAUUAUGGGCUGUUAUUACACGUUAUGUCACAAUACUUAUGCCUAUUCUCUCUUAUUUUACAAGGUUUACAUGAGGAGGGAGAAUGCCGGCAGCUGGAAUUCUGGGCUGGAAAAGGAGCAAAUAUUAGAGACCUAUUCUGCACAACUCCAAAAGUCCUGAAACUCCACGAAAGUUAUUUUUGGAAAUAAUAAAAAAUAUUGAGCGGAAGAAGUACGUCAGAGGGGGCCCCACCUGGCCACGAGAGUGGGGGCGCGCCCUACCCCCCAGGGCGCGCCCCCCUGCCUCGUGGGCCCCCUGUUGGCUCUUCGGUGGCCAUCUUCUACUAUAUGAAGUCUUUCGUCAAGGGAAAAAUCAUAAGCAACCUUUCGGGACGAGACUCCGCCGCCACGAGGCGGAACCUUGGCGGAACCAAUCUAGGGCUCCGGCAGAGCUGUUCUGCCGGGGACACUUCCCUCCGGGAGGGGGAAAUCAUCGACAUCGUCAUCACCAACGCUCCUCUCAUCAGGAGAGGGCAAUCUCCAUCAACAUCUUCACCAGCACCAUCUCUUCUCAAAACCCUAGUUCAUCUCUUGUAUCCAAUUCUUGUCUCCAAGUCCGGGAUUGGUACUAGUAGGUUGCUAGUAGUGUUGAUUACUCCUUGUAGUUGAUGCUAGUUGGUUUAUUUGGUGGAAGAUCAUAUGUUCAGAUCUUAUAUGCAUAUUAAUACUCCUCUGAUUAUGAACAUGAAUAUGCUUUGUGAGUAGUUACGUUUGUUCCUGAGGACAUGGGAGAAGUCUUGCUAUUAGUAGUCAUGUGAAUUUGGUAUUCGUUCGAUAUUUGGAUGAGAUGUAUGUUGUCUAGCCUCUAGUGGUGUUAUGUGAACGUCGACUACAUAACACUUCACUGUUAUUUAGAGGAAGGCAUUGAGAAGUAAUAAGUAGAUGAUGGGUUGCUAGAGUGACAGAAGCUUAAACCCUAGUUUAUGCGUUGCUUCGUAAGGGGCUGAUUUGGAUCCAUGUGUUUCAUGCUAUGGUUAGGUUUACCUUAAUACUUUUGUUGUAGUUGCGGAUGCUUGCAAUAGAGGUUAAUCAUAAGUGGGAUGCUUGUUCAAGUAAGAACAGCACCCAAGCACCGGUCCACCUAGUACCGAACGCGAAUCAUAUGAACGUGAUGAAAACUAGCUUGACGAUAAUUCCCAUGUGUCCUCAGGAGCGCUUUUCUCUAUAUAAGAGUUUGUCCAGGCUUGUCCUUUGCUACAAAAAGGAUUGGGCCACCUUGCUGCACUUUAUUUACUUUUUUUACUUGUUGCUCGUUACAAAUUAUCCUAUCACAAAACUAUAUGUUACCUCUUAUUUCAGUAUUUGCAGAGAAUACCUUGCUGAAAACCGCUUAUCAUUUCCUUCUGCUCCUCGUUGGGUUCGACACUCUUACUUAUCGAAAGGACUACGAUAGAUCCCCUAUACUUGUGGGUCAUCAAGACUCUUUUUUGGCGCCGUUGCCGGGGAGUGAAGCGCCUUUGGUAGGUGGAAUUUGGUAAGGAAAAAUUUAUAUAGUGUGCUGAAAUUUACUGUCACUUGUUACUAUGGAAAGUAAUCCUCUGAGGGGCUUGUUUGGGGUAUCUUCACCCCGACCAGUAGAGCAAAGAGUUACUCCUCAACCUACUGAACCUACUGAAAAUGAAAAUGUUCCCUUUGAAGUUCCUUAGGGUAUGUUAGAAAAACUGCUAGCUAAUCCUUUUGCAGGAGAUGGAACAAAGCAUCCUGAUGAGCACCUAAUCUAUGUGGAUGAAGUUUGUGGAUUAUUUAAGCAUGCAGGUAUACCUGAUGAUGUUGUUAAGAAGAAGGUCUUCCCUUUAUCUUUGAAGGGAGAUGCAUCGACAUGGUAUAGGCUAUGUGAUGAUACGGGGUCAUGGAACUACAAACGAUUGAAAUUGGAAUUUCAUCAGAAGUUUUAUCCUAUGCAUCUUGUUCAUCGUGAUCACAAUUAUAUAUAUAAUUUUUGGCCUCGCGAAGGGGAAAGCAUCGCUCAAGCUUGGGGGAGGCUUAAAUCAAUGUUAUAUUCAUGCCCCAAUCAUGAGCUCUCAAGAGAAAUAAUUAUUCAAAGUUAUUAUGCUCGGCUUUCUGAUAACAAUCGCACCAUGCUCGAUACUUCUUGUGCUGGCUCUUUUAUGAUGAAGACUAUUGAAUUCAAAUGGAGUUUAUUGGAUAGAAUUAAACGCAACUCUGAAGAUUGGGAUCUCGACAAAGGUAAGGAGUCAGGUAUGACACCUAAGUUUGAUUGUGUUAAAUCUUUUAUGGAUACAGAUGUUUUCCGUAAAUUUAGCACUAAAUAUGGACUUGACUCUGAGAUAGUAGCAUCUUUCUGUGAAUCUUUUGCUACUUAUGUUGAUCUUCCCACAGAGAAGUGGUUUAAAUAUCAUCCUCCUAUAGAAGUAAAAGUAGCUGCACCUAUUAAAGUUGAAGAAAAGACUAUCACUUAUAAUGAUCCUGUUGUUCCUACUUCUUAUGUUGAGAAACCACCUUUCCCUGUUAGGAUAAGGGAUCAUGCUAAAGCUUCAACUGUGGUUCGUAAAAGCAAUAUUAGAACUUAUACCCCUCCUGAGCAAAUUAAAGUUGAACCUAAUAUUGCUAUUGUUAAAGAUCUCUUGGCUGAUAAUAUUGAUGGGCAUGUUAUUUAUUUCUGCGGUGAAACUGCUAGAAUUGCCAAACCUUGUGCUAAAGAUAAACAUAGACCUGUGGUAGGCAUGCAUGUUAUUUCUGUUAAAAUAGGAGAUCAUUGUUAUCAUGGCUUGUGUGAUAUGGGUGCUAGUGUUAGUGCAAUACCUUAUGACUUAUACAAAGAAAUUAUGCAUGAUAUUGCACCUGCUGAGAUAGAAGAUAUUGAUGUCACAAUUAAACUUGCCAAUAGAGAUACUAUUUCACCAAUGGGAAUUGUUAGAGAUGUUGAAGUCUUGUGUGGGAAAACUAAAUAUCCUACUGAUUUUCUUGUUCUUGGUUCCCCACAAGAUAGCUUUUGUCCCAUAAUAUGUGGUAGACCCUUCUUGAACACAGUCAAUGCUAGGAUAGACUGCGAAAAGAGUGUUGUUACUAUUGGCUUGGGUGAUAUGUCUCAUGAGUUUAAUUUCUCUAAAUUUAGUAGACAACACCGUGAAGAAGAAUUACCUAGUAAGGAUGAAAUUAUUGGUCUUGCUUCUAUUGCCGUACCUCCUAGUGAUCCUUUAGAACAAUAUUUGCUAGACCAUGAAAAUGAUAUGUUCAUGAAUGAAAGAAGGGAAAUAGAUGAAGUAAUUUGUUCGAUUGAAGUAAUUUGCUCAAUUCUAUCAAUUGCUCGACAGUAAUUUGUUCACCCACUGUAAUACUUAUGCUCUUGAGAGAAGCCACUAGUGAAACCUAUGGCCCCCGGGUCUAUUUUCCAUCAUAUUAAUCUUCCAACACUUGGCUAUUUCUAUUGCCUUUUAUUUACUUUGCAUCUUUAUUUCUCUUUAUCAUAAAAAUACCAAAAAUAUUAUCUUAUCAUAUCUAUCAGAUCUCACUCUCGUAAGUGACCGUGAAGGGAUUGACAACCCCUUUAUUGCAUUGGCUGCGAGGUUCUUAUUUGUUUGUGUAGGUGCGAGGGACUUGAGCGUGGUCUCCUACUGGAUUGAUACCUUGGUUCUCAAAAAUUGAGGGAAAUACUUACGCUACUUUACUGCAUCACCCUUUCCUCUUCAAGGAAAAAACCAACACAGUGCUCAAGAGGUAGCAAGAAGGAUUUCUGGCGCCGUUGCCGGGGAGAUUCGCACCAAGUCAAGACAUACCAAGUACCCCUCACAAACCCUUAUCCCUCGCAUUACAUUAUUUGCCAUUUGCCUCUCGUUUUCCUCUCCCCCACUUCACCCUUGCCGUUUUAUUAGCCCUCUCUUUUCCGCUUGCCUUUCUUUUGCCAUGUCGGAACCAAAAAGAGUUUGGGGGUUCUCUCCCGAGUUUUAGUACUUUGGACGAUCCUUCUAUUCUAUCUAAACUCAUAAAUAAUGCUAUGGAAAAACCUGCCGGAGUUGUCAAUGAGAGUCUUAGUAAUUUUGAUGAAGAUGAUUCCAGAAUUUUUCGUUAUUUACUCGAUGAAUCUUUGAAAAAAAAAGGCGGAUUAUGGGAGUGUGUGACUUGAAUUAUUGAUUUGGCCAUGCAGAUAAAGAAUUGGAUCUGCCACAUUAGAAUUCACAACCAAAGGUGUCUCCGCAUCCAAUCAACAUGUAAGUCCCCUACCUAGGAAGGAUAGGCUGGUUCACUUGAGGAGAAUAUCUUCUAUGAUCAUACCGCAACCAUGUCAUCCAUGAACAGGCUCCGUAAGAUCCCAUAGAGUAGAAAUGGAAUAAGUCAUGUGACAUGAUCCAGUUCUCUAUUUAUUACACUUACCUUUUUAUUAUAGUAUGGAAAUGCAUUCAUUUUCUUUGCAUCGAUUGUGAUCCGCAAUACUAUCGGAGUAAAAGAAGGGAUCUAAGGAAGAAUGUAGGCUAAACUUUUUGAUUUUUUAUUAGUAACAAGUAAAUAUUUUGUUUGGAGGUAAGAAACUUGCGAUAUUGAGGGGAUAAAUACCAACUAAUCAAGAGACAUGAGACAAUACAAAUAGUUGAAGUUAAUUUUACGAAAGAAAAAAGGCGGAUUAUGGGAGUGUGUGACUUGAAUUAUUGAUUUGGCCAUGCAGAUAAAGAAUUGGAUCUGCCACAUUAGAAUUCACAACCAAAGGUGUCUCCGCAUCCAAUCAACAUGUAAGUCCCCUACCUAGGAAGGAUAGGCUGGUUCACUUGAGGAGAAUAUCUUCUAUGAUCAUACCGCAACCAUGUCAUCCAUGAACAGGCUCCGUAAGAUCCCAUAGAGUAGAAAUGGAAUAAGUCAUGUGACAUGAUCCAGUUCUCUAUUUAUUACACUUACCUGUUUAUUAUAGUAUGGAAAUGCAUUCAUUUUCUUUGCAUCGAUUGUGAUCCGCAAUACUAUCGGAGUAAAAGAAGGGAUCUAAGGAAGAAUGUAGGCUAAACUUUUUGAUUUUUUAUUAGUAACAAGUAAAUAUUUUGUUUGGAGGUAAGAAACUUGCGAUAUUGAGGGGAUAAAUACCAACUAAUCAAGAGACAUGAGACAAUCCACAAAGCAAUUGAUCAUGAUCAAAUUUGUAAGCCCACUUGGAUAUUGAGCAUUUACCCAUAAGAAUAGGAUUAUUUUCAAUGAGUAGUUGUAGGUGCAACUUCGGAAAAGAGAAUCUGAUAAAGCUUUUCUUGCCUAGAGUCAUUGAGUCAUUAUAAACCUUAAUUCUAUUAAGGAUCUUCCGCGGUCUUAUUUCUUUCACUCUUGCUCGAGCCGGAUGAUGAUAAAUUCUCAUGUCCGGUUCCUUUGGGGGAUGGAUCCUAAAGAGUUCACCUAUCCCAAUAACAAAGAAACCAGACUUAAAUGAUCCUGUAUUAAGAGCUAAAUUAGCUAAAGGGAUGGGACAUAAUUAUUACGGGGAACCCGCAUGGCCCAACGAUAUUUUAUAUAUUUUUCCAGUAGUAAUUCUAGGUACUAUUGCAUGUAAUGUAGGUUUAGCGGUUCUCGAGCCAUCAAUGAUUGGUGAACCGGCAGAUCCGUUUGCAACUCUUCUGGAAAUAUUACCCGAGUGGUACUUCUUUCCCAUGUUUCAAAUACUCCGUACGGUACCCAAUAAGUUAUUGGGCGUUCUUUUAAUGGUUUCUGUGCCAACAGGCUUAUUGACAGUACCUUUUCUAGAGAAUGUCAAUAAAUUCCAAAAUCCAUUUCGCCGCCCAGUAGCUACGACCGUUUUUUUAAUCGGUACUGUAGUAGCUCUUUGGUUAGGUAUUGGAGCAACAUUACCCAUUGAUAAAUCAUUAACUUUAGGUCUUUUUUAGAUAUUUUUUGAUUCAUUCAACCGUGAAGUACCAUAGGUAUCUACGAAAUAGUUACUUCCAAGUGAAUCUUCCCUAGAUACCUAAAAUCCAUUUUAUUAUGAUCCAUUUCGCGAAAAUAUAGAUUGUACCAAAGAUGCUAAAUUGUUUUCUUUUUAUUCUAACUCGAAAAAGAAGAAGAAAAAAAUUUGCAAUGGAUUUAAAACGAGAGUUUAUUCUUAAGUAAAUCAAUUGGGAGAUGCUUCUCUAGAGUGUCCCAUAUAUGUUUUCUAUCUUCCAUACGAAAACUGUCAAUUCUCAGAAGAUCUUCUUCAGUCUUACUCAAAAGGUCCAAUAGUGUAUGUAUAUUGGCCCUUUUUAGACAAUUAUACGUUCUAGAAGUCAAUUCUAAUUGAUCAAUAAAAAUACAAUUCAAUGGAAUUCCUUUUUUGUUUUUCUUUAGAUUAGUUAAUCUUUUUUGAAAAGUAAAAAGGGGUGGAGUAAACCUGUUUUUAUUUUCUUCGAAACUAGCGCCCUCUUCCUCCGCGUGUAGAAAAGGAAGAAAUAAAUCAAUCAAAUUACGAGAAGCCUCAUAAAGUGCUUCCUUAGGGGUUAAACUUCCAUUAGUCCAUAUUUCUAGAAAAAGUAUCUCGUGUUUUUCAUUUUCAUUCCCACAAGAAAAAAUACUAUAAUUCACAUUUUGAACAGGCAUGGAUACAGCAUCUAUAGGAUAACUUCCAUCUUGAUAGUUCUUUCUGAGUUCUGUCUGAUAUCCACGAUCUCUCUUGAUCUGUAAAUCAAUACAGAAAUCAAUGGGCUCUGUCAAGUUAGCUAUAGGUUGUGCCGUAUCAACGAUUUCUACGGAAGGCGGUAAGAUGAUAUCUUGAGCAGUUAUGUAUCUAGGACCUUUGACGCAAAUGGAUGCGUCUCUAACUCCAUAGAGAUUACUUCUCAAUACAAUUUCUUUCAAAUUUAGUAAAAUUUCUUGUACGGAUUCUUCAAUACCUGCUAUUGUAGAAUACUCGUGCGGCACGCUCCCAAAUUUUGCACGUGUGAUACAUGUUCCUUCUAUUUCUCCAAGUAAAGCUCUUCGCAAGGCAAUACCGACGGUGUCCGCUUGACCUUUUCUAAGCGGGGACAGAAUGAAACGACCAUAAUAAAGGCGCUUACUAUCCACUCUUGAUUCAACACACUUCCACUGUAGUGUUUGAGUGGAUCCUGCUACCUCCUCUCGAACCAUAAUAGACUAGUAUUAUUAUUUUAUCAUUGAAUCGUUUAUUUCUCUUGAAAUGAAAGUUGAAAGCGGGUUAAUUCUUUUACAGACGUCUUUUUUAGGCGGUCGACAUCCAUUAUGCGGCAUAGGUGUUACAUCGCGUAUACAACUUAAUCGCACACCACUUUUAGCAAUGGCUCGUAAUGCGGCAUCUCUUCCACUACCAGCGCCCUUUACCAUAACUUCUGCUCGUUGCAAACCUACUGUACGAAUAGCAUCUACUGCUGUUCUUUGACCAGCAUAGGGUGAUGCUUUUCUUGAGCUUUUGAAUCCACAAGUACCGGCCGAGGACCAAAAAACCACCCGACCUUGUGGGUCUGUAACAGUUAUAAUGGUAUUGUUGAAACUAGCUUGAACAUGAAUAACCCCUUUUGUUAUUCUACGUGCACUCUUCCGUAAACUAAAACGUGCAUUCCUACGUAAACCAAUACGCACUUUCUUACGUGAACCAAUUUUUGGUAUAGCUUUUGCCAUAUUUUAUUAUCUCAUAAAUAUGAGUUAGAAAUAAAAAAAG